AAGUGCAAAACUUUUGCGUUGGCAUGCUGACGAACGUAAGAAGGAUGGAAAGUUGAGGCACCCUGCAGAUGCUUCACAAUGGAGAGAAAUUGAUAGUAAGUAUGAAAUAUUUGCAAAAGAAUCACGGAAUAUCCGAUUCGCUCUCAGCACCGAUGGUAUGAAUCCAUUUGGCAAUAUGGCCACUACCCAUAGCACAUGGCCAGUAUUAUUAAGCAUAUAUAACCUGCCACCUUGGUUAUGUAUUAAACGGAAGUACAUCAUGUUGUCAGUAUUGAUCCCUGGACCAAAACAGCCGGGCAAUGAUAUUGAUGUGUAUCUUGAGCCGUUGGUACAAGACCUGUUGAAGCUAUGGGAAACUAGUGUUGAAGUUCGGGAUGCUUGUAAGAAAGAAUAUUUUAACUUGAGGGCCUUGCUUUUUUGUACCAUCCAUGACUAUAAAGGCCUUGGAAACAUUGCAGGAUUAUCCACUCAGGGAUACAAAGCGUGCUAUAUUUGUCAAGAGAAUACAAAUAGUCGUUAUCUAAAAAACAGUAGAAAAAUGGUAUACCUGGUACAUCGUAGGUGGACACGCAGAAAUCAUCCAUACCGAAAGAAUGUUGAUGCAUUUGAUGGGAGUAUUGAAAAUGAAAAGGCUCCAUCACGCAGUUCUGGACAUGUGGUUUAUGAGAGUGUGAAGGACAUUGAAAAUAAGUUCGGGAAACACAAUUUAGCAUUGUCUAGAAAUUGGAAGAAAAAAUCCAUAUUUUGGAGGUUACCUUAUUGGCGCGAUCUAAGUGUGCGUCAUUGUCUUGAUCUUAUGCAUAUUGAGAAGAAUGUGUGUGAAGCUUUGAUUGGUACAAUUUUUAACAUAAAAGGGAAAACUAAGGACAACACCAACGGCCAGUGUGACCUUGAUGAGCUGAACAUUGAAAAACCCCAGGAAUGGUAUACUCUGACCAAGGAGGAAAAAUUUAAAGUUUUUAAUCUGUUACAUGAUGUCAAAGUUCCAUCUGCUUAUUCAGCAAAUAUUAGAAGGCUCGUGUCAAAGAAAGACCUAAAACUGUCAGGUAUGAAAACUCAUGACUGCCAUGUUUUAAUGACACAGAUCCUCCCCGUGCUCCUCCGUGGGUCUUUCAAGAAUAUCAAAAUACGAGAUACUGUCAUUAGAUUAUGCUAUUUCUUUAAUGAAAUAAAUUCAAAGUUGCUAGAUAUUGAAGCCCUUGACAACUUACAAAGGGAAUUGGUUCAAACUUUAUGCCAACUUGAGAUGUACUUCCCACCUUCAUUCUUCGACAUCAUGGUACAUUUGACCGUGCAUCUAGUUGAAGAGGCUAAGAUUUGUGGGCCGCAUUUCUUAAAUUACAUGUAUCCGAUCGAAAGGUUCAUGGGAAUCUUGAAACGCUUUGUUCGGAAUAAGGCACGCCCGGAGGGUUCUAUUGCAGAAAGUUAUGUAAUUGAGAGUGUCAUCGAUUUCUGUGUGGACUACAUGGAUGAGGUGGCACCGAUUGGCCUUCCACUGUCACGCCAUGAGAGAAGACUUAAAGGGCAAGGGGGACUUGGAUUGAGCACAGAGAUACCAGAUCAAGAAUUGCUCCAUAAAGCUCAUUUCUUGAUCCUUCAAUCUGCUGAAGAUGUUUCAAAGUACAUUGACAAACACAAGAAACGGUUGAGAAAGAAAACCCAGAAAUGGUGGACGAAGACAUUGUGAGGCUCCAUAACAAAGAGUUUUGUGAUUGGUUUCAAAAGCGGUGUGAAAACAAGGUACCAAAGAAUGACACUGUGAGACGGUUGGCACAGGGACCCUCGUCCAGCGUAGCGACAUGGCAGAGUUACGACAUUAAUGGAUACACUUUCUACACAGAGAUGGUAAAAGCACCCGACAAAAUAGUGGAGUUUGCAACGACGCGAUAACUGAGGUGUUUGAUCGCAAUAAAAAAUCGUCAUAUCUAAGGAAGGACACAUAUUAUGGACAAUUAGAACACAUAUGGGAGUUGAACUACACACUUUUCAAGCAAGUUGUUUUUCUUUGUAAGUGGUUCAACCCUAAAGGUGUUGUCGUUGACCCAAAAUAUGGGGUUACCACUAUAGAUUUUAGACGAGAAGCUUACAAGGAUGAUCCAUUUAUUCUUGCAAAGCAUGCAAAUCAAGUUUUCUAUAUCGAUGAUCUUGCAAACAGGCAUCAUCGAGUGGUGCUCAGGGGGAAAAGAAGAAUUGUUGGUGUUGAAAAUGUAAAUGACGAAGAAGAUUAUGACCUCUUUAGUAAUAUGAGUAGUUUAGAUAAUAUGGUCAUAGAUAUGGAAUGAGUUUGGACUUAAUGUAAAUUAUUAUUGUUCUAAUUUCUAUAUAUACGGCUGCUUAAUAUUCUGCAUCGCUGCUUAUUAUAAUUUCUAUCUAUAUACAUAUAUUCUAAUAAACAGAAAAAUGUGACUCCACCUAUCCACAAUUUCCAAUUCCACAUUGCAUUAGGGUUCCAGCUCGUAUUAGGCUCCCCUCGUCCCUCCCCGCGUUCCUCCCCUCGUCCCGCGUUCGGCAAUCCUCGUCCAGCUCAAGGAUCCCGCGUCCUCCCCUCGUCGUCCCGCGCCGUCGUCCUGCGCCGGCGUCCACCCCUCAUCCCGCGUCAGCGUCCUCCCCUCAUCUCGCGCCGGCGUACCGCCGCUGCGUCCCUCCCAUCGUCCCGCGCCCCGGGCGUCCCUCCCCUCGUCCCGCGCCCGCGCGAGUACCGCCGAUGCGAGCUCCAGGCAGCCCGCUGUCGGUGUUUUGGGUCUGACCGCACACCCGGGGUUGCCCCUCAAGGUGUUUUUAGGAGUAGGACGGUGUCAACGACUGUAGCAAAAUGGUUCGUGCUGAUUGCACGAGGGACAGUGAACAAGGUUUACAGGUUCAGGCCGCUUAGAUAUGCGUAACACCCUACGUCCUGGUGAGUAUGCUUGGUGGACAAGGUUACAAGAGAGUUCUCUAGAUUGAGAAUACAGAGAGUUGGUGUGGGUGGCUAAGUAACAGGGUCGAUCGUUCUGAAGGGGUGCCCCCUAGGCCUUAUAUACUAGACCGUGGGGCAGUACAUGUGGAUAUGAUAACAACGAGUAGCUAAAAGAUAGUGAACUGCUUGAGUUUAUCUCCAUGUAAUUCUGCCGACUUAUCCUCGCAUGGCUCCGUUGCAUGGGGGCUCCAGCGCGGGAAAGUCGGAUCUCUGUUGCGAUCACUCGCUCGACGUUGUGGACCGUCCGGGCUUGCACCAAUCCGGCCUCAUGUCGUUCUGCUUUGCUGGUUGUCUCUCCCCAGGCCCACGAAAGAAUGACCUUACGAUUUAUUGGGCCCUUGGGCCUUUCGUGAGGUCUUUUACUCUUUUAGUGGACCCGGGGGAUAUCUAUCCCCCACAAGCCCCCGAUCUUUGGGUUAAUUUAGAGGUAAUCAGCCCAAAGAUCCCAGAUCCAGCUUGCAGGUGAUUUGAAGAAAAUGACUUCCUGUUGUCUUCUCCUGCUUUGAUCACUCGUAGACCGAAGCUUAGUUUCGUGCUUGUGCCUUAGAGGUCGGCAUUUCAAUUUGUAGGAUUUUGAACUACAUUGGGUGCACCGGAGGUGCACCCAAUGGGUGUAGCCCCCGAGCUUCGAGUAGAUUUUUAGAAAAUAAUCUGCUCGAAGGUCUUCUCCAAAAAUUAUUUCCAUUAGUGCUCCUGCGUUUUGGUUGAAGGUUGGCCUUUUAAUCUUGUCCCACGCCUUAGAAGUCGGCACUAUCCUGGCUUGGAAUGAUAAUCCAUGGGGUGCACCGGAGGUGCACCCAAUGGGUGUAGCCCCCGACCUUCAAAUGGAUUUUUGAGGAUAAUCCAUUCGAAGGUCUUCCUUUCGUGUCUCUUUGCUGAAAAUUAUCCUUUCUGCUUUGGAGGUCAGCAUUAUGUCAUCAAUAUUUUGCUUCAGAGGUCAGCAUAUGUUUUGUCUUUAGCAGCCGAGUUCGCAAUCCAUCCAUAUCUUGCUAGGUAGUGCAAUUUAUUUGCUCUGCGACUGAUUGGACGUUUGAUGGACGUUCUCUGUCUAGUCUUCACGUCGCUUCUGUCGGCCAUAUUUUGUACUUUACUGGCUAUAUUUGGCUUUCCUCUGAUCCUUACCGAUAUCUCAUUUUUGUCUUGAGGUAUUCACUGCGUGCCCUGCACAGAUGUGACCGUUUUGAAAAAUAUACUGAUAAUUCCUAGGCGUCCCCCCCCAAUGGGUGUGGGCAAGGGACGGCUUGGUACGCUGAGUGUUUUAGCCGGCUGCUUCUGAGUAGUAAUGUGAUGUGACGGCGAGUGUAAUCAUAUCCUCCGCGCUGUUGACUGGAGUCCCAAUGGGUGUUGUGUUGCGUGAAACGGCGUCAGCCGCCUGACGUGUCUUCAGACGGGUUGAAGUGCUUAUUGAAUGCUUUGCGACUGUUCAGUGACCGCGGUUGGAGGCGAGCGGUUGCCUUCUCCUUCUAUAAAUAACGUCGUUGUAUCUCUGGCCUUUUCACAUCUCUCGCUGUUCUCUGUUGCUUCCCUUUCUUCUCUCCCUUGUGCUUCCACCAUGGGCAAGAACAACAAGCGCAAGUGUGAGCCAACUCCUCCAUCGGAGGAGUUUGGUGACUCGGAGUACUUAGAGGAGGAGUUCUCCUCUGAGUCCGAGGGGUCUCCGGCUCCCAUCCCCCUGCGUGAGUCGUCUGACGACUCAGACGACUCCCAGGGGCUCGCGGCGGAGGUCUGGACAUACAUCCGGGCCGUCGAGCGUUCCGGGCUCGAGGGCUCGGAUGAGUCGGAGUACUCCUCGGAUGAGGAGGACUCGGACGGCGGCGGCGGGGACGAGGACGACGACGACGAUGACGACGACAACGGUGGCGACGGUGACGGUGACGGCAGCGGCAGGGGCGGCGGCGGCGGCAGCAAGGACGGUGACGGCGGCGGCAGCAGGGGCAGCAACCGGGGCGGCAGCACCAGGGGUGGCAGCGGCGGUGGCAGCAACAGGGCCAGUGGCUAGAUGCCACUGGUCUUUUAGAUAUUAGUAUAGUAUAGUUAGAAUAAUGUAGUAGUAAUGUAGAGUAGUAUAGCGUAGUGUAGUAGUAGUAGCAGUAAUGUAAUGUAGUAGUAGUAGGGAAGUAUCAACUCGUAAAGAGUUGAUUUGUAAGUAUGUUAUCUUCCCUUCUAAUGAAAGAAUGAUGUUGGCUUCUCCUUUAUGACUUGUCUUGCUCGUUUGUGAAGCUGAUUCCUUUGAGACAGUAAAUGAAUAACUCGGGCAUCGAACUGAUGCUUUUAGGAAUAGCCGCCGAGUAACUUUGUAGAUGGUGUCGGCGUUUUUAGAGUAACUGCUGAGCGAUUGAACACAAUAUCAGAGUUUUAGAGAUAACUGCCGAGCGACUGAAUACAAUAUCAGCUUUUUAGAGGCAACGCCGAGUGACUGGAGGGUGACGUCGGCGUUUUAGAGGCAACGCCGAGCAACUGAACACUAAAUCGGCGUUUUGGAGGCAGCGCCGAGUGAUUGAAUACGAUAUCAGCGUUUUAGAGGUAACGCCGAGUGAUUGGAGGGCGACGUCGGCAUUUUAGAGGUAAUGCCGAGCGACUGGACACGAAAUCGGCGUUUUGGAGGCAACGCCGAGCGACGUCGGCAUUUUAGAGGUAAUGCCGGACGACUGAACACGAAAUCGGCGUUUUGGAGGCAAUGCCGAGUGACUGGAGGGCGACGUCGGCAUUUUAGAGGUAAUGCCGAGCGACUGAACACGAAAUCGGCGUUUUGGAGGCAACGCCGAGUGAUAGCAGGCCGCGCGAGCCACUUUGAGGAUGAUGGCCGAGUGAUGAGGUGGCGCACCGGUGUUCUGGAGAUAACUGCCGGGUGACUACGUGGCACGCUGGGGUUUUGGAAAUAACCGCCGGGUGAUGACUGGGCACUUUUUGAAACGGUAUCUGGCUCGAGAAUAUCCCAUAAGUGCUGCGCUUUUAGCCGCCUUUGCUUUCCGUGCCCUAGUUCUUGCUUUCUCGCUUCCGAAUCCUCUCUGCCAUCCGCUUCCCACUCUGCUCGCUGGUAGAAUCAAGAUGGCACCCAAGAGGAAAACCUCGAGCUCGUCUGCUGUGGUGAUUCCUCCAAUCGACCCCAAAAGCCAGUUGCCUUUCGCAGGUAACCACAUGUCCGUCAUUUCUGAAACUGAACUUCUCCACCUUGUAUCCAUCGGGGUUCUUCCUCCGCGGGAACUAUGUUCUUGGCGGAUCUGCCAUGGGUUUACUGUUCCGACUGAGGAUACCCAUGAGUCCGUUGUUUACGCCCCUUUCCUUCUCCGCGGCCUUGGCCUUCCCAUUUCUCCCUUUUUCCGCGGCCUUCUUGAUUUCUACCAUAUUAACUUGACCCAUUUGAACCCCAAUUCAAUUCUGCAAAUCUCCAUUUUCGUUCAUUUAUGCGAGGCCUUUCUUGGCGUGCUGCCGCAUUUCGGUCUGUGGAAAUACUUGUAUCAUUGUCGCCCUGGGAUGGCCGGGGGACAACAUCAGUUGGUUGGGGGUGCCAGCUUGGAGAUGCGCCGCGGGAGGAAGACUGAAUAUCUCGAGAUCCCUCUCAAGGACAGUAUCAAGGGAUGGCGCUUGGAGUGGUUUAUAGUUGAAAAUUAUGGGAAUUCUCUCCCCUCCAGGUCGGGAAGACAGCCGGACGUUCGCACCCCAAGCUGGACCGAGUCUCCCACAGAUCAGGAGGUAGCUGAGGCAGGUGUGUUGCUAGCUGAAGUUGGACUGCUGAAAGAGAGGGGUCUGACUGCUGAAGCCGUGGUUACUGAUUUUGUUUUCAAGAAUAUUCAGCCAUUGAAAGACAGGGCCUACCCAGCUUAUCUGUAUCGAGGGCUAGCCGACUCAACUCGGGUUACUAACAGAAGAAUUCCCUCUGCAGACUUGGUGAGCCGACUAGAGAUGAUCCUUAGGGGCAAAGUGUCAAAUGUUGGUGCUCCAGUGGCAUACUCGGCCUGGAACCUGACUCCUCCCAAAGCCUUCACCCUUUUUGUGUCAAAUCCACCUAUUACUGAUGGCAGUUUGGGCCUUAGAGUGCGACCCUCCGCUGAAGAAGUUAGUGCUUUGGUUGCCUCGCUUGGGGAGAUUCCUGAUGACGAACGACAGGUCCAUUUUGAGGUGCCCCUGAACCCUAGUGAUGCAGAGAUAAGCGCUAUGCUUGAUUUGCUAGCUGAGGAUUCUUCCGACGCUGCUCCUGCUGGGGCGUUGGUAGUGGCACCCCUCCCAGAGGCUGAUACGACUUUGGAUGCUCAGAAGCCCGUCAGUACUCGCCUGAGGCGUCCUUGCCGAGCCAAUCAGCCUGAUCCUUCUGCUGAUGAGCAGAAGAAGAAAAGAAGAUGCCUCCGGCGAGUAUCCAGCUUGGAUCAGGACGCUGGUACCUCAGUUCCUGCUACUGAAGAAGUGCCUGCGACUGGAUUAGCUGAUGCUGACCCCAAUGGGUGUACCCAAUCCAAUGCUGAUCCCAAUGUGGGUGCUCCAUCUGUUGCUGAUCCCAAUGGGGGUGCUGCUUGUGUUGCCAAUGUAGAUGACGAGGAGGAAGAAAAUGAGAUUCCUUUGACUCGGAAAAACAGUCGGCAGUUCAUCGCCAGCGGUGAAAGUAGUGGAGUUCCCUCUCCUGCUUUGUCUGCCCUUAUUGGUCUGCAAGAACUGUCCCUAGCCAACUUUGAUCAAAUCUCGAGGAUAUGGUCCCAGAGGACUUGUUAUCGGAGCCAGUGGAUGAUGAUGCAAUGGAGGCUUGCGCUGAUGUGCCUGAUGCUGGGUUGAGGUCAUCCUGUGCCUCGUCGACCUUAGAGCGCGAUCUCGAGGGUCGGGAGACUGACUUGGAUCGUCCUGGUCCUAUGGAAGUAGCUGAGGGCCCGUCAACCUUAGAGAUGGUUACUGAAGAGAACUUGGACCUCAAGAAUGGUGCUGACACAUGCCCAGCCCCCGAGGAUGUCGCCGGGGAUGACUUGGCUCGGGUGAAGAGUGUAAGCCACUGCCCAGCCCCCGAGGGUGCUGUCGGGGAUGAUCCGGCUCAAGUGGGUAGUGCAAACUAUGACCCAGCCCCUGAGGGUGCCCGAGCAGGGUCUCCCUCCUGUACUUCCAUGGACGUUCAUGCGGGAUCUCCUCCACACUCUGGCUGUAUGGUGGUAGCCCAAACCUUGGACUAGGGAGUCGCUUUAGAGGGCAGCGUCCUCGCUGAUCGAGUGUUUGGCUCUGUUGAAGGCACCAAGCUGAUUACUACUGGUUCGUUGCAAGCUGCUUCGGGUGGUGGCCUUACGCCUGAUUAUCAACUGAUCUCUCCUGAUUUGGGGAUCCCUUCGUUCUUUUCCAACCUCCAGGUACUGUGAUGUAUUUUAGCUUGAUUUUCACAUUGUAUGAACUGCUGUCAUUACACUCAUCUGUUUUCCUCAUCAGGCUUUGGUGGAUGGGAUGGCCAGCCAGCUGAGGCUACAGGGUGCUUCCGUCCCAGAAGUAGCUUCGUCUCUUGCAUGUUGGAAUCCAGUGUCACUUCAACAUCGCGUCUCUGAAUUGGAGGCAACCAACGCUGGUUAGUGCCUUUUUGCUUCUCUUUGCCUUCACUGUGGACUGCUUUACCUUCUGACCCCGUUUUGUUUGAUUAUCUCUUGCUAGGAAUGACUCGACAGAUUUCAACUCUUGAGGAAAAACAUUCCCGAGAUCAGGCUGAAUUGGUCCAGCGGUGUGCUGACUUCGAGGAGAAGUACUCUCAGAGCCAAACUGAACUGGGUCAAGUCUCUGCUGCCUUGGAUGACGCCAAUGCACUGAGUUCUUCUCUUCAUGCUCAGCUCGAUUCUGAAAAGGUAAUUUACAAAACUGUGCUUUGACUUGUUGUGUUCCUAUUACUUGCUUGGUUUUUGAAGGAGUUGAUUUUUGCUCGCAGGAAGAAAAGCGUAUCCUCGCUGCUUCUCGCGACAGUCUUGACAGAUUGUAUCGCGAUUCUAGCAACUCGCUGACCAUCUUGGAGAGGAGUCACCGCUUUACAAUGGAGGAAUUGGACAAUCAACGCUGUAAGCUGCAGGAAUCCGCGGACGAAGUGACCCGCCUCAAGCAGUUGAUAUCAGCAAAGGAUGCUACCAUCAAAGAACUCCGAGCUUCCAAGAAAUCCAUUGUCCAGGAGUUAGAAACUGCUCAACUGGUAGCUAAGGUUGUCGAAGAGACUUCUGUUACUCUCAGAGCCCAGCGCGACAGAGCCAUGGACAAGGCUAUUCGGGCGGGACGAAUCUUGAUGAGGAGACCCGGCGUGGCUGUUCCUGAAGACAUAAGGGCUGACGUGAAUGCUGCCCCUGAUUCCUCGAGUCGCCCUUCUUCGUCGGUCGCUCCUGAGAAAGAUAUUGCGAAAUAGAGAAACAUUUUGCGUGCUUUGAGCGCGCGGUUAGCAUGAUCAAAUAUUUGUUAGAGGACAUCAGUUCAGCAUUCGAAUGAUAUAAUUACUCUCUUAUUGUUUCAGAAUUCAUCAGUUCGCAAAUUUGCAGUAGUGAGAUGACGUGCGAUAAUUAUGAAAUUUGUUUGCGGGAUAUAGAAGUCAUCCUUGUAUGAGUAAUCAUAAUUACGUCUGAUCGCCUUAAGUCGCUGCUGACUUAAGUCGAUUGUUUUUGUUAAUAGGGCAUAGUGGUCACCCUGGACUGCAUAGACAUGAGCAUGCUGCACCGGCUUAAGUCGCCACUGACUUUAGCCGAUUGCUCCAUUAGUAGGGCGUAGUGGUCACCCCGAGUUAAGUAAGCGUGAGCAUGUUGCACCGCCUUAAGUCGUUGCCGACUUAAGUCGAUUGCUCCGUUAGUAGGGCAUAGUGGUCACCCCGAGUUAAGUAAGCGUGAGCAUGUUGCACCGCCUUAAGUCGUUGCCGACUUAAGUCGAUUGCUCCGUUAGUAGGGCAUAGUGGUCACCCCGAGUUAAGUAAGCGUGAGCAUGUUGCACCGCCUUAAGUCGUUGCCGACUUAAGUCGAUUGCUCUGUUAGUAGGGCAUAGUGGUCACCCCGAGUUAAGUAAGCGUGAGCAUGUUGCACCGCCUUAAGUCGUUGCCGACUUAAGUCGAUUGCUCCGUUAGUAGGGCAUAGUGGUCACCCCGAGUUAAGUAAGCGUGAGCAUGUUGCACCGCCUUAAGUCGUUGCCGACUUAAGUCGAUUGCUCCGUUAGUAGGGCAUAGUGGUCACCCCGAGUUAAGUAAGCGUGAGCAUGUUGCACCGCCUUAAGUCGUUGCCGACUUAAGUCGAUUGCUCCGUUAGUAGGGCAUAGUGGUCACCCCGAGUUAAGUAAGCGUGAGCAUGUUGCACCGCCUUAAGUCGUUGCCGACUUAAGUCGAUUGCUCCGUUAGUAGGGCAUAGUGGUCACCCCGAGUUAAGUAAGCGUGAGCAUGUUGCACCGCCUUAAGUCGUUGCCGACUUAAGUCGAUUGCUCCGUUAGUAGGGCAUAGUGGUCACCCCGAGUUAAGUAAGAAUGCAAGUCAAUCGUAAACAAUCUGAGUAUCUUUGAAACCUCUUUUUUAUUGAUGACAUAUUCCCACUUUACAUAGUACAUCGUCGUCUCGGCAGUUUUUGAAAUACAACUAGGGAUAAAAUUUUCUGAGGUGUUCUAUGUUCCAGGAGUUCCCGACUUCUGUGCCAUCCAUCUGAGUGAGACGAUACGAUCCGGGCCGAGUGACUUCCGCUACCAUGAAGGGUCCUUCCCAUAAGGGCGAUAACUUGUGUCGUCCCUCCCCCGUUAGAAUUCGGCGGAGGACGAGAUCUCCUACUGAGAAGGAUCGUUGUCGCACAGCCUUGUCGUGAUAGCGCCUUAGAGUCUGCUGGUACCGUGCUGAUUGGAUUACCGCAUUUAGCCGUUCUUCUUCAAGUACAUCAAUGUCCUCCAGCCUUGUGGCCUCAGCUUCUGCUAUGUUUUCGAAGAUCAACCUUGGCGCCCCAAACUUGAGAUCGGCAGGUAGCACUGCCUCCGACCCAUAGACCAUGAAGAAAGGAGUGUUUCCAUGCAGGGCUCGGCUAGGUUGGGUUCUUAGGCUCCAAACGACAUAAGGCAAUUCCCUUAUCCACUUUCCUGCAAAUUUUUCAUUCUUAUCGAAGACCUUUUUCCUGAGUGCCUCCAGUGUCAUCCCGUUGGCUCGCUCAACCUGCCCGUUGGCCCUUGGAUGUGCUACAUAUGCAUACUUGAUCUGAAUGCUCUUUUGCUCGCAGAAGUCGAAGAACUCUAAACUUGUGAAGUUGGAUCCUAAGUCAGUUAUGAUGUUGUUUGGUAUCCCGAAUCUGAAUAUUAUGUCUUGUAUGAAUUCCACGGCCUUAGCAGAGGUUAAAUAAGCAAUGGGCUUGAAUUCUAUCCAUUUAGUGAAUUUGUCGAUUGCUACCAAUACAUGAGUGUAUCCCCCUUGAGCUUUCUUGAAAGGUCCAAUCAUAUCCAGUCCCCAGCAUGCGAAAGGCCAAGUUACUGGUAUGGUCUGCAGUUGCUGUGCUGGCAGAUGUUGUUGCUUUGACAAGUAUUGGCAAGCUUCGCACCUCUGAACUAACUCGGCUGCAUCAUUCUUUGUUGUUGGCCAAUAGAAUCCUGACCUGAAGACCUUCCCGACUAGUGUUCUGGAGGCUGCAUGUAUUCCACAUUGCCCAGCAUGGACCUCCUCCAGAAGUUGCUUCCCAGUGGACGGGAGAAUGCACUUCAUGAGGACGCCUGAUGCACCCCUUCUGUACAAUGUCUCCCCAAUGAGUGUAUAGUGAGCCGACUGUCUGGCAAUGCGCUCUGCCGAGUUCUUGUCGUCUGGUUCUUCUUCAUUCUUUAUAUACUUAAUGAUCGGCCUUCUCCAGUCAUCAGAGUCUGACUCGGGUUGAUCUAUAAUGUUGCACUCUUCUGUUUGAUCCAUUGAGAUACUCGGCUGUAGUAUUUCUUGCACAAAGACUCCGGGUGGGACCUGAGUUCGACUGGAUCCUAACUUGGAUAGUACAUCGGCUGCUGUGUUCCGAUCUCUUUCUACAUGAUGAAAUUACAGACCCUCAAAUUUAUCUUCCAGCUUUCGGAUGACAACGCAGUAUUUCCCAUUGAAUCGCUUGAACAAUCCCACUCCUUGUUUAUCUAGCUGAUGACCACCAGAGAGUCUCCGUAUACCAUCAAUCUCUUGACGCCCAAUGAGAUGGUGAUGUUCAAUCCAUGGAUCAGAGCUUCAUACUCGGCUGCAUUGUUGGAGGCUGGAAAUAGCAGCUGGAGGGCAUAUUUGAGGUGCUCGCCUCCAGGUGCGGUGAAGAGAAUUCCUGCUCCUGCUCCCUGCAACUUCAGCGAGCCAUCAAAAUACAUUCGCCACACUUCUGCAGUCUCUGGGUUAUCUGGUACUUGCUGUUCAGUUCACUCUGAUACGAAAUCAACCAGUGCUUGAGUUUUGAUGGCAGUACGAGGUUGGAAUUCGAUGUCAUGAGACCCCAGCUCACAAGCCCACUUCGCUAUUCGGCCAAUGGCUUCCUUGUUGUGAAGAAUAUCCUCUAUCGGAAAACCAGUGACUACUAUGACUUUGUGGUCAUCAAAGUAGUGACGUAGCUUGCGGGCAGUUAGAAGUACUACAUAUAAUAGCUUCUAAACUUGAGGAUACUUUUUCUUUGAGGGGCCCAGAACUUCACUGAUGAAGUAAACAUGAUGUUGCACUGGGUAAGCAUGUCCUUCUUCUGCUCGCUCGACUACCAACGCGGUGCUUACCACGUGAGUCGUGCAAGAGAUAUACAAUAGCAGAUCUUCAGCUGGUUGAGUUGACGUAGCUCGUCGGGGUGGCUUCAGUACUGGUGGUGUUGUCAAGAAUUUCUUCAGCGCAUCUAGAGCUUCCUGUGCUUCUGAAGUCCACUGAAACUUAUCCACCUUCUUGAGUAGCUUGUAAAACAGCAAACCUUUUUCCCCCAGCCUGGAUAUAAAUCUGCUCAGAGCUGCCAUACAUCCAGUAAGUCGCUGAACCUUCUUUUGUGAUCGAGGUGCUUCCAUCUUCAUGAUAGCUUCAAUCUUAUCCGGAUUAGCCUCAAUUCCUCUGUGGCUGAUGAUAAACCCGAGUAACUUUCCCGCCGGUACCCCGAAAACACAUUUUUUAGGAUUAAGCUUCCAUCUAUACCGUCUCAGACUGUUGAAAACCAGCUGUAAGUCUUCGAUGAAGUUUUCCGAAUUCUCCGUUUUGAUUACCACAUCAUCUACGUAGGCCUCCACACGCUUGCCCCAGUGAUCGGCUAAGCACGUUUGGAUGGCUCUCUGAUAAGUCGCUCCAGCGUUUUUGAGGCCGAACGACAUGGAGGUAUAACAGAAAGCACCAAAUGGAGUGAUGAACGCCGUUUUUUCCUCGUCUUCCUUCGCCAAACUAAUCUGGUGGUAUCCGGAAUAGCAAUCCAAGAAAGACAGCACAGAACAUCCAGCGGUGGAGUCCACCACCUGAUCUAUCCUCGGGAGCCCGAAGGGAUCCUUCGGACAGUGUUUGUUGAGAUCAGUAUAGUCGACGCACAUGCGCCAAUCCACUUUAUUCUUUUUGAGUACAAGAACAGGGUUGGCUAACCACUCGGGGUGUAACACUUCUCUAAUAAACCCGGCCGCGACCAAGCGAGCUAACUCAGCGCGAAUGGCCUCUCUCUUGUCGGGCGUGAAACGACGUAGCUUUUGCCGAAUCGGCCUUGCCUGGGGAUAGACCUUCAGUUUGUGCUCGGCCAGUUCUCUUGGGACUCCCGGCAUAUCCGCAGGUUGCCAUGCAAAUAUAUCUCGGUUAUCUUGCAGAAACUGGACGAGCGCGCUUUCCUAUUUGUCGUCCAAGCUGGAGCUGAUGAUGGCAGUCUUGCGUUCAUCAGCGAACCCCAAGUUGAUCCUCUUGGUUUCUUCAGUCGGCCGCAUAUAAGUCGCGGCCUCAGCUUCGUUUGCCGGUACUGCAAGGUCAUCUUCAGGCUUAGAGUUCGCCAGUGUCGAAGAAACCGCCGACGGCUUGGUGGUGAGGGCUGCUUGGAUGGCCACUCGGAAACACUCUGCGGCGCCUUGGAAGUCAGCGCGCACAGUUAUGAUUCCUUGAGGCCGUGGCAUCUUCAGUAUCAUAUACGUGUAAUGAGGGAUGGCCAUGAAUUUGGCCAGUCCUGGCCUCCCGAUGAUGGUGUUGUACCCGCAGUCAAAGUUCGCCACUUCGAACCUCAGGAACUCGGUUCUGUAGUUCUCCGGAGUUCCGAAGGUGACUGGCAUGUAGAUGUGGCCCAGCGGGUAUUCCCCUUCCAUCGGCACGAUGCCGAAGAAAGGAGUGUCCGACUCGUGGAGCUCUUUGAGGUGAACUCCCAAGCCUUGGAGUGUCCGGGGGAUGGUGACAUUGAUGCUGCUCCCCCGUCCACUAGCACCUUCUUUACCCGGCUCUCUCGGAUCACCGGAUCGACGAGGAGCGGGUAUUUGCCUGGAUGGUCGAAGUUGAGCCAUUGAUCCUCCCGAGUGAAAGUGAUCGGGUGCUCCGACCACCGGUAUGGGGCGGGAGGACCGGUGGUCGCCACCAGUAUCUGACGAUCGUUGAGCUUUUGUUGUCUUUUGUUCUCCUGCGACCCAUGUCCGCCGAAGAUGACGUUGACCUCCCUGUCGACGCAUGGGAAAGCUCCUCCUCCUACCUCCUCCUGCUGAUGGGGUUGUCGUGGUUCAUCUGGUCCUCCCCUCGGCGGAGGAGGAGGUAGAGGUUGGAAGGGUCAGCCGUGUCCGACGGAAUGCUUGAAGUUUCGGCAGUUACGAAGAGUGUGGCGCAUGUCCUUGUGGUACGGGCACUGGGCGUCGAGGAUGUCGUCCAGCGUGCGUUCGCCUCCACGAGGUCCUCCUCGGGCGCGAGAGGCAGGUGGUCCGGCGGCGUGUACUUCUUCGCGAGGCCUCUUCUCCCAUCGUUUGUCGGGUUGCUGGUUCGCGUCGCGUCGUGGUGCUGCCGGUGCGGGCUUUGCUCCUCCGAUGAGGUCCUGGGCCCGCUCGUCGGCGGUGAUGUAGAGGUCGGCUUCCCGGAACAGCUCCUCGGAGGUAGUCGGCGCCUUCUGUAGUAUGGCUCGGACGAAAGCCGAGUCAUUGGAUCCUCUGUAGAAGUCCUCGAUCACGGCCGCCUCCGUGACCUCGGGGAUACGAUUUCUCAUGGUCUGGAACCUUUUGAGGUACGACCGGAGAGUCUUGUCCCCCCAGCGCUUGAUGGAUUUGAGGUCCCACGGUUGCGCCGGCUUGUCGGAGAGGGACUGGAAGUUGGCGGUGAAGCGUCGACUGAAGUCGCCCCAGUCGUCGAUGCAGUGUCGGGGUAGAUGUCGCAGCCAUUGCAGCGCGUCUUGCCCAAGGACAAUGGGUAAAUACGCGGUCAUCACGUCUUCGGAUGCCCCGGCAGCUCGGGCAGCGGUGGUGUAGACGGCUAGCCAACCCCCUGGAUCUUGCUUAGGUUCAUAUUUGUCGACAUUGGAUACCUUGAAGUUGGGAGGCCAUUGGAUGGCCCUAAGGCGCGGAGUAAGAGCAGACACUCCGCACGUGUCCUCCUGUCGUCGGCGAUGAUGUCUGUCCCGGGGAGGGGAGUUGUGGUUGUGGUUCCUCGACCGCCCCCGGGUGGUACCGCCAGUUGAGGCCGUUGCCGACUCAGUUUUGGUGGCCUGGCUCUGAGCUGGGAUGCCAUGAUCCCUGUCGUACUCCUCCCGGCGGCGGAUCUCGUUCUCAUGCCGCCGUUCGCGCGAAGCAUUGAUGGAGCUUCGCGCGUCUCGGCGACUGUUGAUGGCGUGUCGUAGAUCGUUCGGCGGGUGAGCGAGCGGUAGAAGAUGGUUGGCCGCCUGGGUGAACAGUCGUCGGUAGCCCUCAGCGUCGGGAGUCCAAGGGAGUCCAUCAGCUAUCCGAGCUAGUACCCCUCCGACUUCGCUCGGCGUGUUCAUAGCUCGGGUGAAGUCAGGAUUCAGGUUGCGCCCGAAGAAUGGAUUCUCCCGGCGUUGCCUUGCAUCUUGCUCGGCUUGCUCCUGAGCCCGGCGGCGAUCACGUCGUCGGGAGUUCCUUCGUUCUCUGAAGACGCGUUCUUCCGGAGUCUCUCCUAUCUCCGAGACCUCGUCUCGCGAGACAGGCUGCUCCGGAUCCCGUUCUCCGGCUGCGUGAUGUCGUCGAAUGUUCCUGCGCCGGUUCCUCCGUCGGCGGGAUUCUCUUUGAGGCGGUUCUUCUCCGGGUGCGGUUGGCUUGUCGUCGGAGACGGUAGGCGACUCCACUCUCCCGAUGAAGAGGACGUCGGGGUAGAAUGGUACUGUUGUUGCGGCGACCUUCUUUCCAUUCUCCUUUGAGGGCGGAGGAACGGAAAGAACGACUUGCUUCCCCUUGGUCUCCUUCUUCCUCGCGAUCUGCGUCCAUUCUUUUGUCGGGGAAGUAGACAGUGGAGUUCUCCGGGUCAGCGGGCCCUCGGCCCCUGACUUUCCGGAGAUGAUCUUUUUCCGGAGAGCUAGAGGUUGCGCUUCUCCAGCAUUUUCGGAGUUUGUUAGAGGAGACUUCUUUUCCGGCGGAUCCGCAAUGCGGUGUAGAGUUCCCUCUUCAUCCGCUACGGAUGAGAUUGUUCCGAAGCAGAAUACGGAUCCGGGAUGCAGGGUGAUCUUGCUGUGGAAGGUGACGGCCAUUGAGCUAGCUUGGAUCGUCGACACACCCCCUACCUGGCGCACCAGCUGUCGGUGUUUUGGGUCCGACCGCACACCCGGGGUUGCCCCUCAAGGUGUUUUUAGGAGUAGGAUGGUGUCAACGACUGUAGCAAAAUGGUUCGUGCCGAUUGCAUGAGGGACAGUGAACAAGGUUUACAGGUUCGGGCCGCUUAGAGAUGCGUAACACCCUACGUCCUGGUGAGUAUGCUUGGUGGACAAGGUUACAAGAGAGUUCUCUGGAUUGAGAAUGCAGAGAGUUGGUGUGGGUGGCUAAGUAACAGGGUCGAUCGUUCUGAAGGGGUGCCCCCUAGGCCUUAUAUACUCGACCGUGGGGCAGUACAUGUGGAUAUGAUAACAACAAGUAGCUAAAAGAUAGUGAACUGCUUGAGUUUAUCUCCAUGUAAUUCUGCCGACUUAUCCUCGCAUGGCUCCGUUGCAUGGGGGCUCCAGCGCGGGAAAGUCGGAUCUCUGUUGCGAUCACUCGCUCGACGUUGUGGACCGUCCGGGCUUGCACCAAUUCGGCCUCAUGUCGUUCUACUUUGCUGGUUGUCUCUCCCCAGGCCCACGAAAGAAUGACCUUACGAUUUAUUGGGCCCUUGGGCCUUUCGUGAGGUCUUUUACUCUUUUAGUGGACCCGGGGGAUAUCUAUCCCCCACACCCGCGUCCUCCCCUCGUCCCGCGCCCGCGCGAGUACCGCCGGUGCGAGCUCCAGGCGGCCCGCGUCCUCCCCUCGUCCCGCGUCCGUGUACCGCCGGUGUGAGCUCCGUUGUCCGGCGCCCAGAACUCCUAGGCAAGAUCCCUGUGUUUAUUAAGAUGGAUAAAUGUUGCUUAGAGGUUUGGUUGUAGUAGAAUUUUUUCGAUCAUGUUUGUUAUGUGUGCUAUGGGUAGGAUUAGCUAUCUGUUAUCUGCUAAUGUAUUUCCAAUUUAUAGCUAAAUCUAGCAUGGCUUCCUAGGUAAGAUGUUACAUUCAUAUAACCUUUUACAUCAUAUGCCACAUUGUGAGGUGUUCAUAUGUGUCUAACUAAUAAUUAGUGUGUUCUCCUAUUUGUUGUACAGGAAAAUAUGGAAUGGCCGCACCAGUGUGGAGACUUGAUUUCAUAUAUAUUUAGUUAGGCACAACGAUAGCGCAAACAAUUGAUUACCAAGUUUGUCAAUUAGUAUUUUAGUUUGGAUAUAGAGUACGCUUAUGCAUGAGCUAUUUGACAAUGUUUAUUUAUGAGGUAUAUAAUGGUAAUUAUGAAUGAUAUCAUCCUACUUUCAUAUAUUUGAUGGACAUCACAUAUGCAUCUAGAUUUUUCUCCAAGUUUCAGCAUGUAGUACAUAGGGCCAGGUGUCGAUCCAGAUUGUGGCGCCCGACGAGGUGGGGGCGUGGAGAGUGGCAGGGAAUCCUCAUCGUUGUACUGAAGCUUACAUCAAAGGUACGCGUUAUUUAGUCUAAACUUCAUUGACUUGAGAACACACUGCCAUUUGGUCCUGUUUCUCUACUUAUAGUUGUCAUGAGUGGACAUGUUGCACCCCCAAAGUCAUCGAACUUCUUUGUUGAAUUUGGGAUGGACAGUGGAUAUCACAAAAAAUAUACAUCCAGUUCAUCCAAAGUGCAGGUAACUGUUUUAUUCAUACAUAUAUGAUUAAUCAUCAUUCAUCAUUAUGUGAACUCCAUUGAGCAAGUAUUUUGAUUAUGUUGAUUUUGUAUUACUAAGAUCAUGUAAUGGAUAUUGUCAAUUUAUUUUGUUGCCUUCUUUCAUAAAUUGAUUCACAUGUUUGCAAUUAAAUUAUAUAUGAUAUUAUGUUUCAUACAUUGAUUUUUCGUUGUACUAUUGUGUGUUACCAGAGGAAUGAUCUCAGCGUUAAAAUUGAUUUCUUCCAUGCACUACGCACCACCACCACCACUUGUCGACCUUCUAUUUCAGUAUCUGUGAUAUUGAUUUCUUAUUUGUUAUUCAAAUUCACACCGCAAGUUGCUAAGGUUGAAUGGACAACUUGAGAGAAUUCCAAAACGUUUUCUGUUUCUGAGUACCAUGAUUGAUAAGAGACUUUACUGUUUUUGCAUGAGCAUAUAAUAUUCUGACUCAUGGAAAGUAAUGUAAACCUGCUACAUUUACGCAGGCACUCCUGAGUGAGAUGAGAUGCUAGUUACAAGUGAAAUAACAGGCAGUGUUAUUUGUUAAUCAAGGCACUACUACCCUCAUGCAACUUUCUGAACUGUUGAUAACGGGGAUACUGGUUAGUGAUCAGUUGAUCAUCACAGCUCGUCUCAAUUAUCAACACUGUAACAACAGACAUGUUUCUUGGACCGCUACGAUCCUCCAGUGAUUGCCUCCAAAGGUGUCAGAGUUCAGGUGACAUUGCUCCACUUUGAAGUACUGCUCUGAGGUAUCUUCGGCCACUAUAAAAAAGUCGCUAUGUUGUGUUCUUCAGGCUAGCUACCUUCCGUAGAUAUUGUCUUUACAGGGGAUACUUUUUACCUACACUUUUGUACAACGUAUGCUCUACAGAAUCCUUCAAGUAGCAGGAACUGUCACAAAGGCAAUGGCAGUGACGCCUUUGGGAAUAUUCUCUGUCCUGGUGCUAGGAUGGCUAGGGGAUCAUAUCUGUGUUUCCUCCGUUCAAAUGUCUCCCACCUUGCUCCAAAGUGGGCUUUCCACUGCUGCUAUGUGGUGUAGGGUGCCAGAUACUGUUUCAUCCCAAUACCAGCCUCUUCACAGAACUCCACUAUAUGUUUGUUCAGGUUCAUUGAAUGUGCAAUGCUGCUGUAACCUGAGAGAGACGACGCUGAAGAAAGGAACCCCACUAGGUAGAAAAUUUCCUCAUCUGGUAUGACUACUGACGUUAUGUUGUCCCACCUGCAUCAAAAGGAAAUAGACCAAUUCAGCUACCUUAACCGAAACUAGAUUAACUUAUUAUUUGUGACGGUAAUUUUUUGCAAGUGAAAGCAAGUUACUUCGAUUUGUUCACUAGAUAAAGCAAUAUGGUACCAUUGUUGCUAUCUUUCAGGAUCUUGCCAAAGACUUCCUUAGCAAAUCUGUGGAUGGAGCUCCUCGGUAUUAGAAGAUUCAGCCAAGGAUGUGGAACUUCUCCAAGCUCGCCUUCUGGACGAAUGGUAUGUUCUGUUUUUUGUGACUAUAAUAUUUUGAUUUACAUGUUGAAAAGAACAUGUUGUUUUUUGCUGUAAUUUCUUUUCAUGCUCAUGGAAUAUAUUUUGAUAUGAUGUAAAUUGUUCACAAGGAGCUGUAAAAAUUAUGGCAAACUAUCUUAUCCGCACAAGACACCAAAUCACAAAAUUCUAUGCCCUCAAGUCCCAGCUACAAGGUGUAUCUCUUCGUAUAUAGGUAACUACGCAACACAACUUGAAGAAUUGUAUUUAUUUUGAGACACUCAGUUGGGUAACUUUGUGCAAUUUAUAAUGACAUCGAUGACUAUUGACUUAGUUGACUCAACUUAGUUGACUCCAUCUUCUAUAGCGAGCUUCACUGUACUGUAUUUUUUAUGUUACUAAUAUCCAUAAGAGCUCUCUUUAAAAUCUUGUAUUGGCUGCUGUGCAAUUUUUCAGUCUCUGAAAUCAACACAGGCGAUGGGUGAAGCCAUGAAGUGUGUGACGAAAGCCAUGUGGCAGAUGACUAGACAGAUGAAUCUUCUUGCCUUGUAGAAGAUAAUGCGAGAGUUUGAGAUGCAAAAUGAGAAGAUGGAGAUGGUUGGUGAACUGAUGAACGAUGCCUUCGAUGAUGCCUUGGAGGGUGACGAGGAGGAAAAGAUGGAAUAGAACUCAAAUUUUGGUGACCGCACAAGUGUGGAGACUUGAAUUCAUAUAUAUUUAGUUAGGCUCAAUGUUAACGCAAACAGUCGAUGAUCAAGUUUUUCAAUUAGUAUUUUAGUCUGGAUUUAAAGUACACUUAUGUAUGAGUUAUUUGAUAAUGCUUAUUUAUUAUAAAUUGAAUGAUACUUAUUUAUAUUAUAUUAAUUACAAUGUUAUUAAAUAUAUGUGUAUGUAUAUUUUGCUUUUAAAUUAUUAUAUUGCAGUAUCUAAAAAAUGAUUAUAAAUUGGAGAAUGGACUACCAUAUAAGUCAUUUCGUUUAAAUUUUAAUAAGACGGUUUCUAAAACGUCUAAUAUCAGUAUCCUAAAUAAGAUGGUUUUUCCGUUGCAAGCCUCUAUUAUUAUAGGAUAUACUAUACAGUUUGAUAAAUACUUUGUGACUUAUAACGUUUGUAUUCUCGACGAUUCUUUAAAAAAGUGUCUUAAACAAAAACCUAAUUCAAGACGGUUUACCGAAUAAAAUGACUUAAACAACUACCUUUAUGAGUCGGUUAUAAAUUAAAAAUGUCUUAUGUAAUAUCUUUUAAGACGGUUUAAAGCCAUCUUAAAUGUGGGACAUAUUUUGCGACUCCAUCAAAAUUGGACACUUCAUAAGCGUCUUAAUAACUGAAAAUUAACCGUCUCAUAUAGCAUGAUAUGUAGUAGUGUUGGUCGGAAGCUGUAAAUACAGCUUGCCAUGCCAUAAAUCGGUUCUAUCUUCAUUGCCUCCUCAAGAAGACAUCUUAUGAACUCCUAACUGGUAAAAACUCAAUGUUUCGUACUUUCAUGUAUUUGGGAGCAAAUACUACAUCUUAGUAAAGAAAGGUAGACAUUCAAAAUUUGCUCCCAAAGCUGUAGAAGAGUUUUACUAGGUUAUGAUUCAAAUACAAAGGUAUAUAGAGUCUUCAACAAAUUAUAGGGUUUAGUUGAAAUCUCUAGUGAUGUUGUAUUUGAUGAGACUAAUGGCUCUCCAAGAGAGCAAGUUGAUCUUGAUGAUGUAGAUGAGGAUGAAGUUCCAACGGCCGCAACGUGAACUAUGGCAAUAGGUGGUGUGCGACCGUAGGAACAACAAGAUCAAGAUCAACCAUCUUCCUCAACAUUGGUGCAUCCCCCAACUCAAGAUGAGGAACGGGUACCUCAAGAUGAAGGCAUGGAUCAAGGGGGAGCACAUGAAGAAAAGGAUAAAGAGGAAUAAGCACAACAAGCACAUCCAACUCAAGUCUGGGCGACCAUCCAAAGAAAUCAUCCAGUGGAUCAGAUUCUGGGUGUAAGGCCCAAAAUCUGUAUAAGAAAAAAAUUAAUAAUAAUAAAAUAAAUAUAUGAAGAGAUAAAAUAGUAAAUUCAGAUAUCUCAAAUUAUACUUAAGCAUUGAAAAUUGAGGACAGAAUCUUGAAAACCAAGAACUAUUUUAGAAGAGGAGUAAUAGAGAAUUUUUCUAUUCAACUAAAUGAUCAUGUAUUUCAUGAAAUGAUGCACCAUAAGCAAUCAUUUACAUGAAUAUCUAAUUUUGAAGUAACUUUAAUUCCUAUUCCACAAUCAAAAUAUUAUUUUCCUAAAAAGAAAGGAACAAUAGGAGUGUGUUUCAUAUUUCUAACAUCUAUCAAAUAAGUAAAAUAAUUAAAAUAAAUAUACAUCUAUUGCAUCAUAGAUGAUUUUGAGUAUGUAUUAAAGAAUUGAAUUCCUAACCUUUAUCUUGGAUUUGAAUUUUAAAUUUGUAAAUCAAAAGGGGAUAGAAAAUAGAGAAUGAGAAGGAAAUUCUAGAAUUUAGAAAAGGGAAGAAAAUAAAUAUUAUGUAGAUAAAAAUAAGUAAAUAAAAAUAUAUUAUUCCUACUAGAGUUUGAAUUUGUAUAAUUGACUCAAAGGUGAAACACAUAUUCAAAUUAAAAUUUGGAUUCAAAAUAAUUAUGAAUAAAAAACAAAAAAUAGAAGAAAAAGAAAAGAAGAAAUGCUUGAAUGGGCUGAGAUCCCGCUUUUCGGCCCACUAGGGAAUUACUUCUACGCGGCCCAGUCUUCAUUUCCCACCACGUGCCAACAGAUGGACCCCCCCUGUUAGCUGCUCUUAACCCGCACGUGCAAGAAACCGUCUUGGGUUGACAUGUGGGGCCCAUUGCUCAUCCUCCGGUCGCUGGAAUUCGUCGCUGUGCAGUGGGGCCUGGCCGCCAGUCGUCGUAACGCUUCCUUUCUCUCCUCCUGUCUCUAUCGCGUGGGGUCUCUUUGACAGAGUCAUCGACCUCGCGCGCAUGGCGGACUCCGUUUAACCACCGCGCGAGAAGCUUGGCACGAACGCCUAGGCCCGGUCUCCUUGCCCCGCGUAUAAAUUGGGGUUGUUGCCAACCUCUGUGGCCUCUUCCUCAUCCAGUUGAGAGUCGAAAUACUUCACCGCAGAGAGCUGACCGUGUGUAGAGUGGGCAGAAAGAUCACCGCCGUCGGCGCCACCUCUACACGUUGAGGGCCGGGCGUCGGUGGGUGCCAGGACCACCACCGGGGCAGUCCGCACGUGGUCGAGACCCUUCUGGGCGAGCUGGGCAGCCGGAGUUGUCCGAAUUUCUCGUCGACGCUGUGCAACGCCACCUCCCGCCCCUCGUCGCUAUUAUGGCCCCUACUGCGCGAUUGUCAGUAUGUUUGCGCCCUUGUAUUUUGUAUGCAUCGGGUGAUUCGAGUGUCGCCCUCAAGAUAGUCAUUGGGUUCGUAUUGCGAAAACCGAGGGUCUCGCCGGAGCCCUCCACCGCGGAAUGCCGGCGGCGCCACCCUAGUUCGGCCAGCAGGGGCGUAGGGGGUUAAUGGCGACUUCUGGGCUGUCCGAUCGAUUUUGGGCGUUCAGGAUUAGAACGGCGUACCCUUUCAGUCAAAAGGGAUCGCGGCCGUCUGAUUCGGAUUUGGCGCUCGGGACUCAAUCCGGCCGUUUUAAAUUCAGAGCGUCCAUCUCGGAUCGGGUGGCCGGGAUUUGAUACCGGUUCAUCGCCUGCGGAAUUAGAUCUGUGCCAUCCAUGUGUGAUCGGAUGGCCAGGAUUCAAGGAAACCCCUUCGGCCAGCACAUCUUGCGUAAGAAAUCCUGUCUUUAUAAGAAAUAAACCCGUAGUCCACAGAUUCUAUUCACUAAGUCUAGGAAAUUUUACCCCAGAGACCCUGCACUUCUCUGUUUUUGUCGCGCAGUCUAAACAAUUAAUAAAACAGAGAAAUCAAUUUAGAGAAUGAUUUUUAGUACAAAAAUAAUUACAAAAACUUUUAAAAUUUCUAUAAAAUUUAUAUGAAGUCCAAAUCAAUCCAUUCCAAUUUCUAUAAUUUUAUAAUAUUAUUGUUUAUCAAUUAGUGCCACUGUUUUGACAUGAAAAUCACAUUAUAAUUUUAUAAUCUUUCAUAUGGUAUGUACUAACCAAUUUAUAAAAUAGUUUAAUAUUUAAAUCACAUAGAAUUUUUAUAAAUCAUAACUCCUUAAUAGUAACUCCGAUUUUAGUGGUUCUCAUUCCCACGAUCUCGUAGCAACGCGAAGAUUAUUAUUAUGCAGUAUGUUCUUAUGUUUGAUGUGAUGUUAAUUUUGUCUAUACCAUGUUUGUUUGUAUUGCUACGACAAGCAGUGAGGUUACGAGGAUCUGAAGAAGCACCCUAGUACCUGGAAUCUCAAGUGUCAGGCAAGUUGUGCCCUUGACCACUUCUAUUACCCAAUAAUGUUCUUUAUUAUCACUAUUCAAUGCAUAGGUUUAAUUUUAACGGGACACAAUAGGUCACCCUAGUAUGUUUAUCCUUUGUACCUUGUUUACCCCUGAAUCACUUGGGUAGUUUGUUAUUGCUUUAUAUGGUUUUGGGUUAAUAUUUCAUUAUAUCCAUGUUCUAAUUAUUUUGUUAUUUUAUUUAUGUUCAUGUCAAGAUCAUUAUCUUUAAUUGGAACAUGGAGCUUAACUUGAGAAACACGUGCCACCACAAGGGUGGAAUGGGACGCCCUUGGCUGACUAAUUAGGAAAGCUAGUGGAAGACUACCUUACCCGAUAGGGGCAAGGGCAGUAGGGGAGUUGCAUGUAGCGAGGUUCUCGGGUUGAUUUUGCUGCGAUGGCGGUCAGACGAGUGAUUCUUGCAAGUGCUCUUCCCAUAAACUGUAGCGGGUUUUCGGAAGCUAGUGGAACUUUGUAAAGGCCUCGUAGUGUUACCCUGCCUCGCUUCCUUGGUAGAGGUGUAUGGGAUUCAUGACCCCUUGGCAGACGGGUAACAUGACUUGUGGGUACAGGGUACAACCUCUGCAGAGUGUAAAACUGGUAUAUUAGCCGAGCUCACGGUCAAGAGCAGCUCAGUACUCUCGCAUGAUAAAAUUAUGGAACUUAAACUCAAUUUGUCAUAUGCAUUGCAUGGGAUUUAUUAUUAAUGUUGUUCUAUUAUUUAUUAUGGUUUAGUAUUUAUUCACAUUUAGUAACUGCUAAUAAAAUUUGACCAACUUAUUAAUAGAAAUGCUCACCUUUAACCCCUAUUGUUGAUCAGCCUUACACUUCACAUGAACUCCCACCUUUGAUGAGUUCAUGCCACAUUAUUCCCCACAACUUGUUGAGUGAUGAACAUAUGUGAGCUCACCCUUGCUGUCUCACACCCCCCAUAGGAGAAGCACAGGUGGUUCAAGAGGAGCCACACAGCGAGGAGUUUGACUUGAUCUAGGUGGCGUCUCCUAAUUGACUUUGUGGCGCCAAGGAUGGACUUUAGUUCGAUCUAUAUUUAUCUUUUAUUUUGUAAGACUUUCGCUAUGUAAUAAAUACUCGGAUUAUAUCGUGACAUUUAUCUCUAUACACUCUGUUAUUAUAUAUGUUGUCUUUUUUGGCGCAUGUAUGAGAUGCACCCAGCUUUGUCCCUUAAAUCCAGGUGUGAUAGAAGUGGUAUCAGAGGAAUGUUGACUGUAGGACGAAACCUAGAUAGAAAUGGACAAACCCUUACCUACUUACCUUACUCUGAUUCUUAUCUAAACUUUUCUUAACCAUUUCUCAUGUAUUUCCGCUUUACUCUGAUUACUCAUACCUUUUCCUUCUAAAGAUAAAUGUGGAUUUCACACUUUAAAAUCCUGUGCCUAAAGUGACCUUUAGGAAUAGGAGACCUACUCUUAGGAACAAAAAUAAAAGUAUUUUUAUAGGUAUCUAUAAGCCUGAGUGUUUGUUCUUGUGAUAUUUGUUUGAUUUGGAUCUUUGAUUGAGUGUGAUGAGUUGUGGAGUAAUGUCCACAAUUACAUCUGCAUAUACGUAUAGGCAUAAAUAUAAAUAAAUAAAAUUCAUGAGAUAACUAAACAACUUAGAUUAUCCUCCAUUAAAGAGGGAUCUAUUUAAAAUAGAUACACUUUAAUGGAUCCCUCUUAACUUAAAGGAAUCUAUCUUAUCCUAAUAGGUUCAUCUUGUGUUAAAAAUUAUCUUAUCCUCUUAAAUUGUUUAUAAGAUAAACUAGACCAACUAAAAAUACCCCCACUAGAAUAUAUCAAAUAGAUCCAUCUUAUCUUAUAAGAUUCUCUCUUAUAUUAAUAGAUCCUUCUUAUCCCGAAAAUAUUUUACCUUAGCCUAAUAGUUCUAACUAAUCUCAAAAGAUUCUAUCUUAUUCUUAGAGACUCAUCUUGUCCUAAUAAGCAUACUUAUCCCCACCACUUUGCUUAUCUCAUAACAGUGUAACAAACAUGAUCUAUCCCAAAAUAAAUUAAGUAGAUCUUAUCUAGUCUAAUCUGGUUAUACUAAUUUAAAUCAUGAUCCCAUCUGAUCAGAUCUAAUCUAAUGGACAAACAUGAUAGAUAAUACUGGGAAAAUAGAUUGGACCCUACUUCUAUAAGCAUGUUUUAACCUAAAUUGGUGCCCUAGAUUAACUACCUAACCAUGCAUAUGCAACUACCUUAACCACCGGAUAGUUGCAUAACCCAUUUGUUUUAACCUAACAGAGAUUCUGAUCUACCUUCACCAUAUAAUCCAUCCCAUCCCAAAAAAUUCUAACAUAUUCCAAUAAUAUAUAUCCUACCCUAGUAUAUCUAUCUAACUUAAACUAGUCUGAUCUAGUUAUAUCCAAUCUAAUCUAGACCCUACCGAAUAUAAUAUGUUCCAAUCUAAAGGGAGUGACUUAAACAAGUCAGUUAAUAUUGGUAACAUAGAUUAGACCAUAUUCUUAUAAAUGGGUGUUAAACCUAAACGGGUGUCUUAGACCAACUCGUCCGUGAAACCACGACCUCGCCUAUGUUAUAGGUUGCCCAACCCAUUUAUCCCAAAAGCAAAGUAAUAUUAUGUUUAACCUACCUACCCUAUGUACCCAUAAUUGUUAGUCCAACUAAGAUAAUGGUAUUUAACAUCACAACCGAUGGUCCCUAAAUCAGACCCAAGGAGAAGGUUAACCUCGACAAUGAAGAAUAUGAGUAGAAACAGAUCUUCGGAUGAAUCAAGAUUCAGCACCCAGAAUAGAAGUCUUCCUUACCCGACUUCCUUUUACCCCCAAAUCUUCUCUACACUCACCUACUAGCUAAAACCUGAUGUACCCUUGUUUUCUAUGCCACACCUGUUAAUGACAUGAAAAUUUUAGGUGUAUAAAAAUAUAUACUAAUUGUGAGUUCCACUAAAAAAAUAUACUAGAACUCCAUAAAGAUAAAGUCAGCUGGACAUGCUCAACUAAAUGGUAUUCUUAAAUAGGAUUGUAGAAUCUAAUGUGAGCUAAGCUAAUAUGAUCUAAUCUAAUGUGGUCUACUUAAACAGAUCAGUGAUACUGGUAGAAGAGAUUAGAUCCUACUAACCAGGUGUUAACUUAACUUAACACAUUAGACCAACUCAACCAUGAGCUAACUCAACCAAUAGAGUCAUGAUGAAUUGAUUAGUUAUAUGUCCCCACCUAACCUCAAACAAACUUUUGACCUACAUCGUGUAAUCUAUCUCAUCAUGAUAGAUUCUAGCUUACCUUUGGAUAUUCACCUUAUACGACUAGUUACCCCAAUCUGGGCAUAAAACAAAGAUUAAGCCCUGCUAAAGAAUCUUUAGAUCAUAAACAACUACUAACCUAUUCAUUCUGCUUACCAAAUACUUUCUAUUGCAAAACUAUCCUACCAUAUGCUUCUAACUCUCAUGAUCAAUACCAGUAAGGGAAGAUUAUCGGGCAACAGCAAACAUAAAUGAAUCCUCCAGAUCCUCCCCCCGUUGGAAUCGAUCAAGUGGCUGCCGCCCAAAUGAUGGUAAUACAACAAAUGGCAAACAUAGUUACCGAAAUGCAAAAUCAGAUAAGACAAGAACGCUAGAAAAUACGUCAGGGCCAACUGGAGAUACAUCAAGAAAUAAGGCAGGCACGGUUGGAAAGACAACAACAACAACGUCCACUACCUCCACCACCACCACCAGCUCCACCAAUAUACAUAAAUAUAUAUACUACUAUUUGUAAGAUCUAAGUGUUACUUUAGUUAGUGGUUGGUAUGAUACUGUUUUAGGAGGAAUAAUAAGGUCUAAUUGACCCCAUGUGUUGCUAAUAAAUUAUGCAUCAUGCUGAGAUUUUUGUUUGUGCAUAUGUUCUAAGAUAACAUGGUUAUACACCCUUUUCUUACAAAUCUCGAGGACAAGAUUUCUGUUAAGGGGGUAGGAUUUGUAAGGCCCAAAAUCUGUAUAAGAAAAAAAUUAAUAAUAAUAAAAUAAAUAUAUGAAGAGAUAAAAUAGUAAAUUCAGAUAUCUCAAAUUACACUUGAGUAUUGAAAAUUGAGGACAGAAUCUUGAAAACCAAGAACUAUUAUAGAAGAGGAGCAAUAGAGAAUUUUUCUAUUCAACUAAAUGAUCAUGUAUUUCAUGAAAUGAUGCACCAUAAGCAAUCAUUUACAUGAAUAUCUAAUUUUGAAGUAACUUUAAUUCCUAUUCCACAAUCAAAAUACUAUUUUCCUAAAAAGAAAGGAACAAUAGGAGUGUGUUUCAUAUUUCUAACAUCUAUCAAAUAAAUAAAAUAAUUAAAAUAAAUAUACAUCUAUUGCAUCAUAGUUGAUUUUGAGUAUGUAUUAAAGAAUUGAAUUCCUAAACUUUAUCUUGGAUUUGAAUUUUAAAUUUGUAAAUCAAAAGGGGAUAGAAAAUAGAGAAUGAGAAGGAACUUCUAGAAUUUAGAAAAGGGAAGAAAAUAAAUAUUAUGUAGAUAAAAAUAAGUAAAUAAAAAUAUAUUAUUCCUACACUAGAGUUUGAAUUUGUAUAACUGACUCAAAGGUGAAACUCAUAUUUAAAUUCAAAUUUGGAUUCAAAAUAAUUAUGAAUAAAGAAAAACAGAAAAUAGAAGAAAAGGAAAAGGAGAAAUGCUUGAAUGGGCUGAGAUGCCGCUUUUCGGCCCACUAGGGAAUUACUUCUGCACGGCCUAGUCUUCAUUUCCCACCACGUGCCAAUAGGUGGACCCCCCUAUCAGCUGCUCUUAACCCGCGCGCGCAAGAAACCGUCUUGGGUUGACGUGUGGGGCCCGUUGCUCAGCCUCCGGUCGUUGGAAUUCAUCAUUGUGCAGUGGCGCCUGGCCGCCAGUCGCCCUAACGCUUCCUUUCUCUCCUCCUGUCUCUGUCGCGUGGGGUCUAUUUGACAGAGUCGUCGACCUCGCAUGCAUGGCGGACUCCGUUUAACCACCGCACAAGAAGCUCGACAUGAACGCCCUGGCCCGGUCACCUCGCCCCGCAUAUAAAUUGGGGUCCUUGCCAACCUCCGCGGCCUCUUCCUCAUCCAGUUGAGAGUCGAAAUACUUCACCGCAGAGAGCUGACCGUGUGUAGAGUGGGGCGGAAAGCUCGUCGCUGUCGGCGCCACCUCUACACGUUGAGGGUCGGGCGUCGGUGGGUGCCGGGACCACCACCGGGCACUCCGCACGUGGUCGAGACCCUUCUGGGCGAGCUCGGCAGCCGAAGUUGUCUGGAUUUCUCGAUGACGCUUUGCAACGCCGCCGCCCGCCCCUCGUCGCGAUUAUGGCCGCUACUGCGUGAUUGUCGGUAUGUUUGCGCCCUUGUAUUUUGUAUGCAUCCGGUGAUUCGAGUAGCCGCCCUCGAGAUAGUCAUUGGAUUCGUAUUGCGAAAACCGAGGGUCUCGCAGGAGCCCUCCGCCGCGGAAUGUCGGCGGCGCCACCCUAGUUCAUCCAGCAGGGGCGUCGAGGGGUUAGGGGCGACUUCUGGGUCGUCUGAUCGAUUUUGGGCGAUCAGGAUUUGAACGGCGUACCCUUUCGAUCAAAAGGGAUCACGGCCGUCCGAUUUGGUUCUGGCACUCGGGACUCAAUCCGGUAGUUUUAAAUCUGGAGCGUCCAUCUCGGAUCGGGUGGCUGAGAUUUGAUACCGGUUCAUCGCAUGCGGAAUUAGAUCUGUGCCAUCCGUGUGUGUUCGGAUGGCAAGGAUUCAAGGAAACCCCUUCGGCCAGCACAUCUUGCGUAAGAAACCUUGUCUUUAUUAGAAAUAAACCCGCAGCCCACAGAUUCUAUUCACCGAGUCUAGGAAAUUUUACCCCAAAGACCCUGCACUUCUCUGUGUUUGUCGCGCAGUCCAAACAAUUAAUAAAACAGAGAAACCAAUUUAGAGAAUGAUUUUUAGUAAAAAAUUAAUUACAAAAACUUGUUAAAUUUCUAUAAAAUUCAUAUGAAGUCCAAAUCAAUCCAUUCCAAUUUCUAUAAUUUUAUAUUAUUAUUGUUUAUCAAUUAGUGCCACUGUUUUGACAUGAAAAUCAAAUUAAAAUUUAUAUCCUAUUUAAUUUUGUACAAAACACAUAGAAUCUUUAGAAAUUCAUAACUUAAACUCUAUAACUCCGGAUUGACCCGUUCCAGUUGUGUUAGCUUCAUAUGAGUAUUUACUACGUAGUAACAACAUCAAUUAUACCAUGUCGCAUACUUUUAUAUUUAUUUACCCUAUGUCUACUAGACUACCUUUUCUAAACCAAAUUUAACUUGUCCGUGAUUAUAAUAUGAUUAAAGCAUGAUCUCGAGUCAAGUUAUGAUUAAAAUUUAAGUUGAAUUAAUUAUUUAUGGAAUAAUCUCUCAUAUGGUAUGUACUAACCAAUUUAUAAUAUGGUUUAAUAUUUAAAUCACAUAGAUCUUUUAUAAAUCAUAACUCCUUAAUAGUAACUCCGAUUUUAGCGGUUCUCGUUCCCACGAUCUCGUAGCGACACGUAGAUUAUUAUUAUACAUUAUGUUCUUAUGUUUGAUGUGAUGUUAAUUUUGCCUAUACCAUGUUUGUUUGUAUUGCUACGACUAGCAGUGAGGUUACGAGGAUAUGAAGAAUCACCCUAGUACCUGGAAUCUCAAGUGCCAAGCAAGUUGUGCCCUUGACCACUUCUAUUACCCAAUAAUGUUCUUUAUUAUCACUAUUCAAUGCAUACGUUUAAUUUUGAUGGGACCCAAUAGGUCACCCUAGUCUGUUUAUCCUUUGUACCUUGUUUACCCAUGAACCACUUGGGUAGUUUGCUAUUGCUUUAUAUGGUUUUGGGUUAAUAUUUCAUUAUAUUCAUGUUCCAAUUAUUUUGUUAUUUUAUUUAUGUUCAUGUCGAGAUCAUUAUCUUUAAUUGGAACAUGGAGCUUAACACGUGCCACCACAAGGGUGGAAUGGGACGCCCUUGGCUGACUAAUUAGGAAAGCUAGUGGAAGACUACCUUACCCAAAAGGGGCAAGGGCAGUAGGGGAGUUGCAUGCAGGGAGGUUCUCGGGUUGAUUUUGCUGCGAUGGCGGUCAGACGAGGGAUUCUUGCAAGUGCUCUUCCCAUAAACUGUAGCGGGUUUUCAGAAGCUAGUGGAACUUUGUAAAGGCCUCGUAGUGUUACCCUGCCUCGCUUCCUUGGUAGAGGUGUAUGAGAUUCACGACCCCUUGACAGACGGGUACCAUGACUUGUGGGUAUAGGGUACAACCUCUGCAGGGUGUAAAACUGGUAUACUAGCCGAGCUCACGGUCAAGAGCAACUCAGGACUCUCGCAUGAUUAAAUUAUGGAAAUUAAACUCAAUUUGUCAUAUGCAUUGCAAUGGAUUUAUUAUUAAUGUUGUUCUAUUAUUUAUUAUAGUUUGGUAUUUACUUACAUUUAGUAACUGCUAAUAAAAUUUGACCAACUUAUUAAAAGCAAUGCUCAGCUUUAACCCCUAUUGUUGAUCAGCCUUACACUUCACAUGAACUCCCACCUUUGUUGAGUUCAUGCCUUAUUCCCCACAACUUGUUGAGUGAUGAACAUGUGUGAGCUCACCCUUGUUGUCUCACACCCUCCACAGGAGAAGCACAGGUGGUUCAAGAGGAGCCACACAGCGAGAAGUUUGACUUGAUCUAGGUGGCGUCUCCCAGUUGACUUUGUGGUGCCAAGGAUGGACUUUAGUUCGAUCUAUAUUUAUCUUGUAUUUUGUAAGACUUCCGCUAUGUAAUAAAUAAUCGGAUUAUAUUGUGAAAUUUAUCUCUAUACACUCUGUUAUUAUAUAUGUUGUCUUCUUUAGCGCAUGUAUGAGAUGCACCCGGCUUUGUCCCUUAAAUCCGGGUGUGACACUGGAUGGCAUCAGCAAGGGAGUAACUACUCGCUCACAUUUAGCUAACUUUUGUAAGCAUUACUCUUUUGUUUCUUCUAUUGAUCCUUUCAGGGUAGAAGAAGCCUUGCAGGAUCCGGACUAGGUGUUGGCCAUGCAGGAAGAGCUCAACAACUUCAAGAGAAAUGAAGUAUGGAGCCUGGUGCCAAGUCCAAAGCAAAAUGUUGUAGGAACCAAGUGGGUGUUCCACAACAAGCAAGAUGAGCACGGUUUCGUGACUAGAAACAAGGCUUGACUUGUGGCAAAAGGUUAUGCCCAAGUCGCAGGUUUGGAUUUUGAGGAGACUUUUGCUCCUGUAGCUAGGUUCAAGUCAAUACGCAUAUUAUUGGCCUAUGCUGCUCACCACUCGUUUAAGUUGUUUCUAAUGGAUGUGAAAAGCGCCUUCAUCAAUGGACCAAUCAAGGAGGAAGUAUACGUGGAACAACCCCCUGGCUUCGAGGAUGAAAGGUAUCCCGACCAUGUGUAUAAGCUCUCUAAGGCGUUCUAUGGACUUAAGCAAGCUCCAAGAGCAUGGUAUGAAUGCCUUAGAGACUUUCUCAUUUAUAAUGCUUUUAAUGUCGGGAAAGCGGAUCCUACCCUUUUCACUAAGACUUGUAAUGGUGCUUUAUUUGUAUGCCAAAUAUAUGUCGAUGACAUAAUAUUUGGUUCUACUAAUCAAAAGUCUUGUGUAGAGUUUAGCAAGGUGAUGAUGCAAAAAUUUGAGAUGUCUAUGAUGGGCGAGUUGAACUACUUCCUUGGAUUCCAAAUAAAGCAACUCAAGGAAGGAACAUUCAUGUCCCAAACAAAGUACACUCAAGAUUUACUCAAGAGGUUUGGGAUGAAGGAUGCAAAGCCCACUAAGACGCCGAUGGGAACGGACGGACACUUGGACCACAACAAAGGAGGUAAGUUCAUUGAUCAAAAGGCAUACCAGUCUAUGAUAGGUUCUUUACUUUAUCUUUGUACUAGUAGACCGGAUAUAAUGCUUAGUGUAUGCAUGUGUGCUAUAUUUCAAUUCGACCCAAGGAAUGUCAUCUUGUGGCUGUGAAGCGAAUUAUUAGAUAUUUAGUUUCUAUGCCUUGCUUCGGGAUCUGGUAUCCAAAGGGUUCUACCUUUGACUUAAUCGGAUAUUUAGAUUCCGACUAUGCCGGGUGCAAGGUUGAUAGGAAGAUCGCAUCAGGGACUUGUCAGUUUCUGGCAAGGUCCCUAGUGUCUGGAGCUCUAAGAAACAAACAUCUAUAGCCCUAUCAACCACUGAGGUCGAGUAUGUUGUCGUAGGACAAUGUUGCGCGCAACUGCUUUGGAUGAGGCAAACCCUCUAGGACAUUGGCUACAAUCUAAGAAAAGUCUCACUCCUAUGUGACAAUGAGAGUGCGGUCUGCUUGGCGGAUAAUCCUGUUGAACAAAGCCGCACUAAACACGUAGACAUCCGGCAUCACUUUCUGAGAGACCACCAGCAAAGGGGAGAUAUCGAUAUUUAUCAUAUUAGCACCGAGAAAAAGCUAGUCGAUAUCUUCACCAAGCCUUUAGAUGAGAAAAGGUUUUGCAGGUUGUGUUGUGAGCUAAAUGUCUUAGAUUCGCAGAACUUGGAUUGAUCUAUAGCAUACAUGUGUUUUAUGCCUUUGAUCAUGUUACUUUAAGCAUUAUUGUCUUUACUUGCUUAUUUUUGGUGCUCAAGUUGUACAAGUCAUCCCCGGACAUCACAAGUCCCUAUGCACAUGAUGCACAUGUUUAGUGGGAGGAUGUACUACAACUUGAUCCUUUGAGACUAAUGUGUUCGCUUGAGUUCCUUUGAUAUAGUCUCAAAGAUGAAUUGAAAGGGAAUAGGUGGACUUGGACAAAGAAUAGGCUUCCACUGCAUUCCGGUAUCAAUGUAUCUUGUCUCAAGUUCUUAUCUGUGUUUUCUCAUUGCCUUUGGUUUUUUACUCGAGAUUUUUGUGAGGCAAUGAGGUUAAAGGGGCCUAAUAGUUCUUCUAUUUUGGUGCUUAAUACCAAAUGGGGAGAAAAUUAAGGCCAAAGCAACUGGAUCAGCCAACCACUUGUGAAUUUUAAAAUUUUAGUGUUAGAAUUCUUGGUGUUUGAUCAAAACCCUCUUAUUGCAAAAAUAGUUCUCUUGUGGGGGAGAAAUUAGAUUACGGGAAAAGGGGGGAGUUUUUGGUAUUUGAUCAAAACUAUUCUUGAAAGAUCUUUGGAUUUGCCAAAACAAAUGUUUUUGACCUAGAGAAAGGAAAAUGAAUUUGUUUUGCGAAAAUAAACUAAGUGGUGGCAAAAGUGAUCCAAAUAUGCCAAAUCCUAUAAUGAUUUUAUUUGUCUUCAACUUGACAUCAAUUUGCUCUUCUUAGCUCUUUUGGAUAUGUUAGUUCAUUUUGAUUUGUUUUUUGAUCUGUUGGCAUAAAUCACCAAAAAGGGGAGAUUGAAAGGGAAAUGUGCCCUUGGGCCAUUUCUAUAUUGUUUUGGUUAUUAGAUGCACAUCACAUUAUGUUUGAACUAACAUGAUAUUGAGCAAAAGUGUUUGAGACAAAAUGAGCUCGGAAGAGGACUUAGUGCAAAUAUAUAUGGAUCAAGCUAAAAGGUAUGCUCUGGACACUAAGUCGAUUGAUUUAUGUGCUAAUCAUGUUUGUCUAAGUGUCAGGGACUCAGUUAAGUGAAGUCCAAAAGAAACAAAGGAAGACAAAGGAAGAAACAAACAAAAAGUGCUGGACUGCCCUACACCGGACAGUCCGGUGCCCCCGGAAGCGGAAACCAGCCAAACAGGGGAUUCUCUACCGCUCCCAGGGCGCGUACUGUUCAUUGCCCGUUGUGCACUGGACAGUCUGGUGCACCCACAGACAGAAGGCAACCAGGGCCUUCCAAAUGGAGCUCCAACGGCUCUUAGUUGCCUUGGGGCUAUAAAAGGGACCCCUAGGCACAUGGAGCAGUAUACCAAGCCUCCAUUGAACAUCCUAAGACACCUAGACUCCACAAGCACGCAUUCGGUUCAUUGCGAUUGAGAUUUGAGCACUUCUUUGAGCUGUGACUUCGCUGCAUUAGUUUGUGUGCUCAAGUCUUGACUUGUGUGUGUGUUGUUGUUGCGACUCUAGUUCUUGUGUGUGUUUCUAUUCCCUCCCUUAGGUUUAAUUGUGAUCAAUCUUGUAGGGUGAGAGGCUCCAACUUGUGGAGAUUCCUCACAAAGGGAAACACUUGAUAAAAAGGAAAAAAUUGUGGUACUCAAGUUUGAUCGUUGGAUCAUUUGAGAAGGAUUGAGUGCAAUCCUUGACCGAAGGAGGUCACCACAACGUGGAGUAGGCAUUGGCCGAACCACGAGAUAAAAUCAUUGUGUCACUUGCGCAUCUUUUUCUGUGAUUGUCUUCUUCCAUAGUGUUGUCAUAUAUUCACUUGCGCUAUUAUUCCUAAGUUCAAUACAUAUCAUAAAGGAACAAUCAAGUGAAGAGUUCUCUCCUCUCUAUUCACAUCAUCUUGGUUUUUGAUCUCACUAUCAUUUGUUAUAAACCAAGUUUGGGUUGUUUAGACUUGAUUUUUAUAGGAUCACCUAUUCAUCCCCCCCUCAAGGUGCUCUCAAGUAUCAGAGCAUGGUUUGACUCAUUUGAAACAUUUUAGCUUCACCGCUAAUCGAGUCGAUGCUUUUUAGAGGAAGGGGAUGGAUACCCAUAGGCCACCACACUUCGACAGCACUAACUUCCCAUAUUAUAGUGCUAGAAUGACUUGUUACCUAAAGGUUGUUGAUCUAGGUGUUUGGAGAGUCACUCGUGACUAGAUGAAACCACCUAAAAAUCCCGAGAAGCUCACCACGAGUGAAGAAAAGGAAAUUCAUUUGAAUGCUAGAGCCAAAAAUUGCUUGUAUGAAUCUCUUAGCAUGGAAAUUUUCAAUCAAGUGUUUACAUUAAAAAUUGCUAAUGAGAUUUGGCUAAAAUUGCAUGAGCUCCAUGGCGGCCCAUCCAAUGUCCAUGAGCAAAAACAUUGCCUAGUUUUAAAUGAGUACAAUUCCUUUGCCAUGAAAGAAAAUGAGCUUGUUAGAGACAUGUACUCUCGUUUAAAUCUAAUCAUCAAUGAGCUCAACUCUGUUGGCAUUAAUAAGCUAGGUGAUGCGGACAUUGUGAGGAAGAUUAUCUCCCUACUACGACAACAAAGAUAUGGGAGCAUCAUCACCAUUCUGCACAACAUGGAGGACUUGAGUACAAUGACCCCGACAAUUGUGAUCGGAAAGAUUGCGGCAUUUGAAAUGUCACAAAAAAUGGGUCGACAAGAGGAGCCAACUUCUUCAAGACCAUAUGCUUUUGCAUGUGAUGAAAAGAACAAGGGAAAGAAGAAGGCUCCCACUCCAAGCUCCUCAAGUGAAGAAGAUGAAGAAUAAGAAAGUGAUGAUCAUGAAGAUAAUCAACCAUCAACAUCAUCCUCUGAGGAUGAAGAAAAAAUUCGACGCGUCAGAAAGGUAAUGGGGAUGAUCCACAAGAUUAAUCUAAUGGUGUGCCUCUGCAGGUCGAGGAUUUUCUCUUUAACAUUGACAGGAAAAAGCAAAGAAAGAGAGGAUGCUUCGCAUGCGGGGAGAAGGGCCACUUCAGGGACAGCUAUCCAAAUAUGGUCGAACCCAAAAUGGGGAGGAGCAAAGGCAAGGCGCUUUCAAGUGUCAAAACAUGGAAUGACUCUUCAAGCGAAGACAAACCUCCAAGGACACACAGCCACCGAUCCUCAUCACGCUCAUCACAUUCAUCACGCAAGUGCCUUAUGGAAAGAGGUAUAAUGAGUAUUCCAUCCUCUAGUGAUAAUAGCAGUAGUGAUGAUGGUGAAGGUGAGGGAAAGCCCUCCAUAGAUGAGCUUGCGGAAGCCGUUAAAUUUUUUGAGAAUGUAUGCACUAAACAAAAGACUCAACUUCAAACUUUGAAAAAUAAGUUGAUUAGCUCUCAAAAUGAUUAUAAAUGUUUGCUAGAAAAAUUUGAAACAUUUGUAAAUUUACAUUGUGAGCUAACAACUAAAAUUGAGCAUUUAGAGUCUAAUGCUCCAUCCUCAGCUACCGAUGAUGGCCUUAUUAAAGAGAGUGAAAAACUUAAGGCUAAGGUAGCUAGCUCUCAAGAAGCAAUUGAAAACUUGCUAGAGAAAAUGGAAAUUCUUAGCAUACACAAUAAUGAGCUAACUACAAAGCUAGAAAACAUUGGUAGCACCUCAUAAGUAUCUUUAGUUGAAAUACCAGAAACUAUUAAGAAAGAUGCUUCUACUUCUUGCUUUGAAUUAAUUGAUGAUUCUAAUCCCUGCAAUCAAGUUCUUGUUAAGAAUGUUGUUAUAGAAACAUGUUCGAAUGAGAUUGCAAUGGAGAAUGAAUAAUUAAAGCAAGAGGUGGCUCGCCUUGGCAAGACCUUAUAUGACAAGAAAGGCAAAGCCAAACAAAUCCAACCUCCCAAGGAUAACACCACUGCGGGAGUGAACAAGCCUGUGGAGGGAGAAACUGUGGUUUGUAGGCUAUGCCACAAGGAAGGUGUUGGGGGUCAGCUUCGUCGCCGAAGGUCCUGUAAGAAGAAAUACCUUCGGAAGAUUAACAUAGAAGCAAUGUCGAAGCUACGAUCCACGGAGCUUCGGCAUAGUGACACGCCUUGAGACGAAGGGUUGCACUGACUUAAAGAUGAAAAGACCGAUCGGCCCAUGAUAAUCUUUGUCAUGAUUGUAACCAGUUAUAAAGGACAUGAAUGUAAAUCCACACAGGCUGCGCCCUGUGCCUAUAAAUAGAUGAACAGUACCCCCGUACUGUUCACGCAGACUUGUAUUCGCUUGUGCAUCACGCUUGAACUUUUUGCCUUCUGUCAAGCCAAAGGUAUAAAUGUAAUUUAGUAUUGUUCUUAUUUAUCCAUGAUGAUAUAAUAAAGAUACAUUAACAAUGUCAUAUGAUUAUCCAUGUUAUUUCUCAUGUUUUAUAUGCUUCGUCUUUCAUUAAUUUACGCUAUGAUGAUGAAGGUACGUCCUUCACAACCUUCGUCCGAAGAUUGUUAUAUCCUAAGGGAAAUAAUGCUUCGAAGGACGAAGGGCGUUAACUAUUAACCACUUUUUGUGUUGCCUUGUUCUUAACUCAUAGCAUUUGAGAACAAGUCCCCAACAUUGGCGCCCACCUCUGGUGAACUCACUUCCACUUUUGAGCUGAUGGCUUCGUUCUACAACCAAGCCGAAGUACCUUCAGCUACGAAGCUGGUGCUCCAUAUAACAGGCGGCUCAGGUUCAGAGCCGGCUAACAAAAAGUAGAAGAAAGAAGCACAGAGAAGGGUACAACAAGUUGGGGUGCAGGGACCCUUCAUCAAAUCAAAAUGGUCCCAUAUCCCAAUCACCUUCUCCCAGGAUGACCUUUAGCUCAAAGAUUACCCUCACAAUGAUGCUAUGGUCAUAUCUUGUGUCAUCAACGGAUUUCUGGUCCAUAAUGUUCUGGUUGAUAUAGGUAGCGCAGUGGAUAUCAUAUUUGCUAAGGCAUUCAGACAGAUGCAAGAACCAUAGGAUAAGAUUCAUGAUGCUACACAUCCUCUAUGUGGCUUCGGAGGAAGGCAGAUUGUAGCACUCAGCAAAAUCACAAUGCCAGCAACCUUCGGCUUCGUUCAUAACACAAGGACUGAACAUGUCGUAUUUGACAUUGUUGACAUGGAGUACCCCUAUAAUGCAAUUGUUGGUUGUGGGACACUCAAUGCUUUCCAAUACUUCAUCCAGCAUAUUUAUGCAUGAAAAUAACUUUGGAACAAGGGCCAUUGCUAUUCAUGGGAGUCAAGAAGCUGCCAGAAAGGCCGAAGGAAACUGGACAGAUUCAAAGGCAAUCCAUAAUAUAGAUGGAGCUGAAGCCUGUGAACAGUAUAGAUACAAAAGAGAGAAGGCUGCUUCGGCGGAUCAGCCGAAGCCUAUGCUUCUGUGUGAAGAUAUAGCAGAACAAAAGGUACUGCUAGGGUCUCAGUUAUAUGAAGAGCAGGAGAAGAAUUUGCUAAGAUUUUUAUUCAACAACAAAGAUGUCUUCGCUUGGUUAGCCAAUGAUCUUUGUGGUGUCAAUAGAGAUGUCAUUGAACAUUCGCUCAAUGUAGAUCCAUCUUUUAGGCCAAGAAAACAAAGGCUUCGGAAAAUGUCUGAUGACAAAGCUGAAGGUGCUCGGAACGAAGUAAAGAGGCUUCUUAGUGCUGGCGUUAUCAGAGAGGUGAAAUACCUAGAGUGGUUAGCCAACACUGUUAUGGUGAAGAAGGCCAACGGUAAAUGGAGAAUGUGCAUUGAUUUUACAGAUCUUAACAAGGCUUGUCCAAAGGAUGAGUCCCAUUACCAAGAAUAGAUUCUCUAGUAGAUGCAGCGGCUUCGUCAGAGCUCAUGAGUCUACUAGAGUGUUACUCAGGCUACCACCAAAUCUGGAUGAAGAAGGAAGAUGAGCCGAAGACUAGCUUCAUAACCCCCAAUGGUACAUAUUGCUAUCUUUGAAUGCCUGAGGGGCUUAAAAACGCUGGAGGAAGUUUUAGCAGAAUGACAGCCAGAGUCCUUCAUUCUCAAAUAGGCAGGAAUGUGUUGAUCUAUGUUGAUGAUAUCAUAGUUAAAAGCAUGAAGCAAGAAAAUCACAUUGCUGAGUUGCAAGAGACAUUCGCCAAUUUCAGGCAAGCUGGUUUGAAGUUAAAUCCAAAAAAGUGUGUUUUUGGGGUAAAGAAGGGCAAGUUCCUUGGCUGUCUAGUAUCAACGAAGGGAAUUGAAGCUAACCCAAGCAAGAUUGAAGCUAUCCUUCGGAUGGAACCACCAAGUACAAAGAAAGGGCUCAACGGCUGGCAGGCAGAUUAGCAUCAUUAAACAGAUUCAUAUCUAGAUCAGCAGAAAGAAAUCUGCCAUUCUUUGAAAUACUGAAGUCAGCCGAAGUCUUUCAAUGGGGCCCGACUCAGCAAAAAGCCUUCGAAGAAUUGAAGCAAUAUUUGAUUGAUUUAACAACAUUAACUCCACCUUCGACAGGGGCUCCAUUGCUCUUAUAUGUUGCAGCUUCGCAUUCUGCAGUAAGUGCGGCACUUGCGCAGGAGAAGCUAGAUGGCCAAGUCAAAAAGCAAGCUCCAGUGUACUUCGUCUCCGAAGUUUUAAGUCUGUCAAAGAAAAAUUAUACAGAAUUGGAGAAGGUGCUAUAUGUUGUGUUAAUGGCCUCCAGAAAGCUUCGGCGUUAUUUUCAAGCAUAUCACAUAAUUGUUCCUUCGUCACAGCCUCUGAAGGACAUUAUGAGGAACAGAGAAGCUAUUGGAAGGAUUGGGAAAUGGGCUGCAGAACUUAAUGAAUUCACCAUUGACUAUGUGCAUAGAUCCUCAAUCCAGUCCCAGGCGUUAGCAGACUUCAUUGCUGAUUGGACGCCAGGGGCUCAGGAAGAAGAAAUAAACAAAGACGCUAAAGCUUGGAUGGUGUUCUGUGAUGGAUCCUGGGGAACCUUCGGUGCAGGAGCGACUGCUGUUCUAGUGGCACCUUCGAAAGUCAGAACAUGUUAUGCAGCCAAGCUUGACUUUAGUUGCACAAAUAAUAUUGCUGAGUAUGAAGCACUUCUGUUGGGGCUUCGGAAGUUAAGAGCAAUAGGAAUAAGAAAAGCCAUCCUCAAAACUGAUUCUCAAGUCAUUUCUGGCCAUGUAGACAAAAGUAGAAAGGCAAGAGAUCUGAAGCUUGAAAAAUAUCUGGAUACAGUUCAAAGGUUGGAAGCUUCUUUCGAAGGCUUUUCUGUCAAGAAUAUUCCAAGAGGUGAAAAUGAGCAUGCAGAUCUACUAGCCAAAUCAGCGGCUUAGGGGCUUCCUCUACCUUCGGAAGUAUUUUUUGAAACAAUAAAGGCAUCUUUGGUUGAACUCAUGGAGAGAGCAGUGCUUGCCAUUUCUCUAGUACAUAGUGAAGAUUGAAGGACUGAAAUUAUAUCUUUCCUCCAAGGUAAUUGCCUUUCAGAUGAUGAAGCUUAUAAUAAGAGGAUGGAGGCAAGGACAAGACCGUAUGUGAUAAUAGAAGGGGAAUUAUAUAAACAUGGAGUCUGUUCUCCACUUCUCAAGUGUUGAAUUAAUGAAGGAGAUACAUGCAGGUCUGUGUGGAUCUCAUAUUGGGUCUAGGCCAUUGCUGGGAAAAGUGUUUAGACAAGGAUUCUACUGGCCGAAGGCAGCUUCAGAAGCAGCAGAGUUAGUUCAAAAAUGUGAAAAUUGUCAAAAAUGUGCAAGAGACCAGAAACAACCUUCAUCUCUCACUCAGUUAAUACAGCCCACCUGGUCGUUGCAAAGAUGGGGCCUGGAUUUGCUAGGCCCACUUCCACCAGCGCAAGGCAAUUUGAGAUAUGUUGUGGUGGCUGUAGAAUAUUUUUCUAAGUGGAUUGAAGCGAAGCCUUUAGCAACAAUAACUUCGGUUACAGUCCAGAAAUUCUUCUGGUAGAAUAUUGUUUGUCGCUUCGGCGUGCCGAAGGCUAUAACUAUGGACAAUGGAACACAGUUGAUGCCGAAACUUUCAAGGAUUUCUGUGAUCAGAUUGGCACGAAGAUUCAUUUUGCAUCAGUUAGGCACCUGGAGUCAAACGGGCUAGUCGAAAGAGCAAAUGGCAUUAUAAUGACGGGAAUAAUGAAGCUAAUCUUCAAUCAGCCUAGAGGAAAGUGGCCAGAUGAAUUGAUUAAAAUGGUGUGGAGCCACAAUACAACCAUAUCAAGAUCAACAGGUUUUACACCGUUCAAAUUAUUAUUUGGCGACGAAGCUAUAACCCCAGAAGAAGCUAAAGCGGGGUCAAUAAGAACAGCAGCUUUGGCAGAAGAUGAAGCUGAUUAUCACGUGGCAAAAGAUACUAUAGAAGGGACCAGACUUCAGGUUGUCGAGAAUAUCAAUAAAUAUCAAGCCGAAACAAUAAAAUGGCGUGAUAGAAAAGUUCAGUUGAAAAAUAUUAAGCCAGGUCAUUUGGUGCUUCGGAGAGUGGCUAAUCCGGACAUAGUAGGCGAACUACAGCUGAAGUGGGAAGGACCUUUUCUGGUGGUAUCUUUGUCAAGGCCCGGUUCUUACAGAUUGAAGGAUAUGGACGACAAUGACAUUCCUAGAUCUUGGAAUGCGGAUGAGCUUCGAUGAUAUUAUGUGUAAUUUGAUGUAAUCUUUUUCAUUUUUUUCCAAUGGCACCCUUUUCCUUUCCAAAGGGGGAGAAAGGUUUUUAAUGGGGCCAUAGCUUGUAAUUUUUCUUUUCUUAUUCAGCUCUACAAGAGCAAAAUCCCCCAAAAAAUGUAAAAUGUAAAAUCUGAGCAUGCACCAUCGAGUGCAGAAAAAGAAAAAAACCAGGGAGAAGCUCAAAAGUCGUCCCUAAGGGGAUGCAGAGCAUGACGAAGCUACAAAAAGUCGUUCCUAAGGGAGCACAGCGUAAGUUUUCUGCUCAAAAAUCGUUCCUAAGGGAAUGUAGAGCCAAAUACUGCCGAAAUAUAAGGCGAAGAAGUUCAAAAGACGUUCCUAAGGGGAUGCAGAACUUAUACCGCCGAAAUAGAAGACGAAGAAGUUCAAAAGACGUUCCUAAGGGGAUGCAGAACUUACACCGAAAAGUCAAUGGUGAACACCAAAAAAUAAAUAGUGAAGAAGACUACAAAGUCGUCCCUAAGGGGAUGUAGAGUCUGGGUGUGGCUUCGUAAGCGUGUGUUUGGACAUUCAUUUGCACAUUACAUCACAUCAUUCAUUGCAUUCAUACACAUUCAUUUAGACAUUCGUAGGAUCAUCAUCAUCAUAUCAUAGUGUACAGACAGUUGCUUCGGCUCUAAUGACAAGGCUUCGAUGAGUACAAAAGAAGCAAAUUUACGCUUCGUUGUGUACGAAAAGAAGGGAAGGUGUUUUUUGCCUUUGGCUCAAAAAAAUACAAGUUUCGUCCACAUCAAAGCAGUUCAUACAUGGAUGGAAAGGUAAAAAUAUAUUACAAGGUAUGGGCAAAUUUACAGAGUAACGUUUGAUUCCUAAAUUACAGUAUCUUUUACAAGGUUAAUUCAAAAAUUUCUGUAGAGCUUUUUCGCAGCAGUGUCUUCAGCUUCAUCACUUCAUCACUAUCCGCCAAGCUUCGGAUCAUUGCUCUUCGGCUUCGGCAUCCUGUACAUAACAAAGGGGUAUAAGGUAAACACAAAUCUCAAGGAAAAGGUAAGCAAUAGGUACAAGUGUAUUACCGGCUUGAGAUGACUUCAAGCUUCGUCACCAGCUAAGUCUCGCCCACCCUUCGUUCAGAUUUGAGUUAUGAAUCUAUUUCCAAUGCUUCGGGCUAGACUAGGGAUGUCAGUUAAAUCCGCUGGUGACAGGCUGAAGUUUGGCCUGUUCACGAUCUUCCCAUGCGUGCAACCAGUCUUCAUGAAAGCAACAGCUACGCCCCGAGAAGCUAGCAGGGCACAGAAGUCACCGUGCCUAGCUAUAACUUCGUCAAGUGCAUCAACUUCGCCCUCAAUAUGUUCGAAGGUGCUUGGCAGGUCUUCAACCGAAGGUUCAAUUUUUUCAGAUGUGGCUCCAACUGAGUUGAAGACCUGCUUCAGCCGUUGCACACACCGGUUGCCAAAGCUUAGGCAUCUGUCUUGAAGCUCUUUCAAGGAUUUUUGCAAAUUUGAACUCUUUUCGACUUCGGUUUUAAGCUUUGUAUCGAGAUUCUUCUUUUCUUGCUCGAAGUUUCUGAUUUCAGGAGGAGUUCACUAUUUAAUCUAGCAAUCUCGGCUUGCGCCCCUGCCAGUGAACCCUCCAUCGUUUGAAGAACAAAAUCUUUCAUUUCAAGAGCAGCUUCAUGAUCUUUAAUUUUGCUUUCCAAGCCUUCAAUUAUAACCUCAUUUUUCUUAUCUUCGAGGUCAUGUUGCAUCCUCAAGGAUUUACUUAGUAGCAUACUCUGUGCAAAAUAACCUUCAUCAACAAUCACCUUCAUCGUAAAACAAUGAAAAGCUGAAGGAAAAAAAUUUUACCUUGAAAUUAGAAUAGAAUAAACUACAGACGAUAUGCUGUCGUCAGUAGCAACUGAUGCCAGCUUCAAGCUUCGGGAAACCAACACUCUUUGAUAGGGUACUGAUAACCUUCGCUCCAGUUCGAUCUCGGAUGCAUCCUAGGCUUUCUUCGUUAAUGCCGCCGAAGAGUAACGCUCCUGGCUGGUAGCCACAAGAUAUAGCAUAAUCCCGCAGCUCCUCUUUCUCAGCCUUAGAUAACUCUUGACCAAUUAUGUUUUGAAAAUUGAAGUAUUUUUCCUCCGAAAUAUCUUCGACAAUCUCCUACCCUUUUCCAGGCACUGUGGCCAGGGUUUCUUCAGCAGCUGCAGCAGCUUCUUCUGCGGCCAUAUCCAAGAGUAUUCUACCAAUAUCAGAUAAUGUGUUCUCCAGAUUCGUAGCUUCGACCGUUGUAGCUUCGGCAGUUGUAGCUUCGGUGGGAGCAGCUUCGAUGGCUGUAGCAACUUCGGUAGCUGGUGUUAUUUUUGACGCUGAGGCCAGCGGUGGCGUUUCUUCAAUUGCCUGCAUAACAGUAACAAUCCUUUGCUUUUUUCGCCCAAACGCCUUCUUCGCUGCCAAAGGCUCGUCCUUCUUCUGUAAAAGCUUUGUCAGUUCUGGCCCCAGGGGACUUAGCAGCUUGAUAGGUAAGGAUUCAGUCAUUACCUUUAAAAUUUCUUCCACUUCAGUAGCAGAAGGCGUCGAAGGAGCUCCCUCUUCUAUCUCAGCCAUCUUCGGCUUUAGAGUUGUUGUUUUCCUCUUCUUCGAGGUUGUCACCUUCGGCUCAGGACUAGACUUUUUCAUUUUCAGAAUUUUUUCAUCUUCUUUUAUCAUCCUAGUAGUCUGUCUGUUCAUAACACUGACAACCCUUUUUCGCUUUGACCCUUCGGCACCCUUGCUUAAUCGUUCAUAGUCUGGGUAUUCAAAGUUCAGCGCAUCCAUUACUCGAUUCAGCCUUCGCUUCGGUCGGGUGCCGAAGGCCGUAGACAUCAGUUGAUCUUCUUUUUUAGUAUAGUUGCCCAAAAUCUCAUUGCACAUAGCCUCAAUCAUUUCUAGCCACUCUUGGCAAGGCUCUUUGAAUUGUUUCUUGAACUUGAAGUGAUAGGGCAAUCGAACAAGUUCAUUCUUUUUCUUUUCUCCUUUCAGCUUUGGCAUAUUGCAUUCACUCAACGUCGAAAAUACUCCAUAGGCUAAGAAUUCUUGCACCAGAUCUCUAGUGCUGACCUGCUCAGUCACAACUCUAAAUUCUACCACAGCCUGUUGGCAUGGUGACCCCGUUGACAUACAGCACAAGGGCCUAGUCAACCCGUAGCUCAAACUCAGCGGGCUCAGUACUAACGUCUUCAGCUUCUCCCUUUUAUUUUCAUCAUCUUUAACAUAGAACCACUCACUUUUCUAGCCAGUUGGCCACUUGGUGCGGUAGCUUAGCACCGGGGCCUUCAUAUCCUUGCGGUAAGUGAAGCUGUAACAGCUAAAAUUCUCAUGAAGCCCAUCUUCUCUAGCCUUCGUCUGAUAAUGUAGCUCAUGUACUCGGCAGAAGGCUUCAGCAUUUGGAUCCAUUCCCUGGCUUUGAAGAGCCCAAAUGAAGAUGUUGAGCCUAACGAUAGCGUUAGGAGUCAGCUGAUGAAGAUAAAUUUCAUAAUUAUUCAAAACUUCCCCAAUCAUCUCAUGAAGCGGAAACUGUAAUCCAGCUUUGAAAAAGCUUUUGAAAACUACCACUUCGUCAUAUUUUGGCUCUGGGAUGGUUUCUUCGCCGGCAAAACGAAGAAGCUUCUUCUAUGUCUCCCCGAAGUAGCCGAGCUUCAUCAUCAUCGGCACAUCGGUCUUAGAGACAGUAGAUUUUUCAAAAUCUAAGUGGCUGGGCUUUGAUGGGACUAGAGUGUCGUAGUCUUCCUCUUCAUUAGCAUUUUCUUCCUAAAUAUCAGCUUCUUCAGCCUCAGCAGUAUGUACAUCUUCGUCAACAGACCCCUCUGUGACAACCAAUCCAGAUUGCUUCAUAACUUCGGAAAUCGGGGCUGUUUCGGUGGCUUCGGCCUCCUCUCCGUCACGGGUCACUCUAGCAGUUGAACGUACUCCUGGCCAUCAGGUGUUAAAUUUCUUGUAGUUCUUACGAGUGUUGAUGAUUUUUACAGUUUUAACGAAGCUCCCUCUUAUGCCGAAGCUAAAUCAAAAUGAUGCUUUGCUUUAGAAUGUGAUGAGAAAGCUUCGGCUAUGGUUAAAUUUUUCAGCAGCACAACAGUGCAAUGGCAAUGAAUGUUGUGGUAACUUCACACCUACCCAUCUGUUUAUAUAGUGCGGCAGGUCUGAAGGUGAAUUGUCAAGUUGCCCGCACCCACUCAAUAGUCACCCGCACCCACUGAACGGUGGACCACGGCGCGUGGGAGAUGAAUCACCAGAUCGCGUGUACCCGCCGCAUGGUGGGGCCACCUCGCGCUCGGAAUAUUUUAAUCGUUUCUUGGCAACGAGCUCAGGGAAGGUGUUUUCGGACCUUCGGCAUUCCAAAGCCUAGGACAAUUUUUCACGGAUCAAGCUCGUUACGAAAAACGAUCUAGCACCGCGAAGGGGCUACUGUUGGGGGUCAGCUUCGUCGUCGAAGGUCCUGUAAGAAGAAAUACCUUCGGAAGAUCAACACAUAAGCAAUGCCGAAGCUACCAUCCAAGGAGCUUCGGCAUAGUGACACGCCUUGGGACGAAGGGUUGCACCGACUUAAAGAUGAAAAGACCGAUCGGCCCAUGAUAAUCUGUGUCAUGAUUGUAACCAGUUAUAAAGGAGAUGAAUGUAAAUCCACACAGGUUGCGCCCUGUGCCUAUAAAUAGAUGAACAGUACCCCGUACUGUUCACGCUGACUUGUAUUCGCUUGUGCGUCACGCUUGGACUUUUUGCCUUCUCUCAAGCCGAAGGUAUAAAUGUAAUUCAGUAUUGUUCUUAUUUAUCCAUGAUCAUAUAAUAAAGAUACAUUAACAAUGUCAUAUGAUUAUCCAUGUUAUUUCUCAUGUUUCAUAUGCUUCGUCUUUCAUUAAUUUAUGCUAUGAUGAUGAAGGUACAUCCUUCACAACCUUCGUUCGAAGAUCAUUAUAUCCUAAGGGAAAUAAUGCUUCGAAGGACGAAGGGCAUUAACUAUUAACCUCCUUUUGUGUUGUCUUGUUCUUAAUUCAUAGCAUUUGAGAACAAGUCCCCAACAGAAGGCCACAAGUAUUACCAAUGCAAGGCGAUGACCGGGGAUAAGCAAAAACAUAAGCUGAAGCAAAAGCCAACAAGCAAAAUCUCCAACAUCUACAUCAACAAGGUGGACAAAAAGGCUACUACACCAUAUUUGAUCAAGAAGAAAAAGAAUAGAAAGGUGAUAGCAGUCAUGGCCAACAAGCAAGCCAACAAAGAAAAGGGAGCCAAAUGCAUCUGGGUGCCAAAGGAAACUAUUUCAACCAUGAAAAUCACCAAGAAGGUUUGGAUCCCAAGAGGGAAGUGAGUAGUCCAAAGGACAUCGAGGAAUUUGGAGACUUGGCAAAAUUGGGAUGUAUAUUAUGGGAUGCAUCAUAUUGGAGCAAGCCUAUUGCCAAGUGGGUUAAUGAAUACUUUGGACUCAAAUUCCCCACCCAUGACUAAGGUAACUAGAUUUAUUGUAUUUCCUUUUAGAUAUGUGUAUCUAUUUUCUUCUAUCUAGUUUUUACCUUUCAUGCCUAGUCUUUACAUGUGGUAUUUACUUUUGAAGCAUACUAGGUCAAUCAUAUGGUAGGAAUGCUUGUUUUCAAUUCAUAUUCUUAAGCAAACCUACAUGGUUUAAAAUGUUUAGUUAAGCACGACACAUAGCUUAUUCAACAUUCCUAAGCAAAUGAUACCCCAAUUAGUAUUUUCAUGUGACAUAUCUGUUGGGGGUCUUAUUCUCCGCCAAAGGUCCUCAAGACAAAGGUAUCACUGGCAAAGUGAUGUUGAGGAUCCUCUCUACCGAAGGUCCUCAAGACGAAGAUACUAUGUGGGGACUAUAAUGACGAAUAUCGAAGCUUCUAUCGAAGGACGACAACUUCGGCUUAAAGGUGAUGACGAAGGUCAAGCAUGGCGCUGAACCAAAGAGGAAAAGACCAGUUAAUCCCUGAUGGUUUAUGUUACAGUUAUGCAUACAAAUUAAGGUCAUAAAUGUAUUUUCGCCCAGGCUGCGUCCCAUGCCUAUAAAUAGGUGAACAGUACCUCCGUACUGUUCACGCUGGAUUAUAAUUGCUCUCACGUCAACACCUUCGAACAAGCCGAAGCUAUCAAUGUAAUAUAAAUUCUGCUAAUGUUCGUGUUUAUGUCGUGAACUACGUAUAUGAAUGAAUACAUGAAUUACAUAUAUUAUCUUUAUGUAUUUUUGUCCUUAUAGAUCAUGAAGGUAUGCCCUUCAUGACCUUCGUCUGAAGAUCGUUAUAUCCGAAAGGAGAUGUUGGGGGCCUUCGUCUUCCGAAGGUCCUCAAAAACAUGAUUGAACAAUGUCUUCCAAGUGUGACAUAUGAACAGGUACCUUCGGACUCGGGUUAAAAGCAUAUACAAUGUGAAGAGCAUGGUCGUGACGAAGGUUGGUGUUGCUCCAAAGCUACGAAUAAGAGAGCUUUGGCUUAAUGGCAGAAAAAGGAACCGACUUAAAGGGGGAAAAGGCUAUCUAGUCCCCAUUGGGUUGUCUAUAAGUCAAUAGCAAAUAUGAAGGGCAUGAAUGUAAUUUCUCACAGGCUGCGUCCUGUGCCUAUAAAUAGAUGAACAGUACCCCCGUAUUGUUCACGCUGACUUGUACUCGUUUAUGUGUCACGCUUGUACUUUUAUCUUCUAUCAAGCCGAAGGUACAUUUGUAAUUCAAUAUUAUUUAUGUCUUUCCAUGAUAAUAUAAUGAGAAUGAAUUAAUAAUGUUAUAUGAUUGUUUAUGUUGUCUUCUAUAUUUCGUAUGCUUCUUCUUUUAUUAACAUAUAUCGUGAUGAUGAAGGUAUGUCCUUCAAAACCUUCGUCUAAAGAUCAUUAUAUCCUAAGGGAAAUAAUGCUUCGAAGGAUGAAGGGCAUUAACAUUUAAUAUUUUGUGUUGCCUUGUUCUUAAUUCAUAGCAUUUGAGAACAAGUCCCCAACAUUGGCGCCCACCUCCGGUGAACUCAUUCGACCACCUUCGGCAAGCACUGACCUUCGUCAUGCCGCCGAAGAAGAUAACUGCGCUAGGGGCUGCUGCACUGUAGCCACUGGACACAAACCAGGAGACUCUCUCUCUUCGAGAGGCUCGAAGCCAGAAGAGAAAGGCCACCAGUCCAACACUCCAGGAGGAGGAGUUGGACCAAGAGAUUAGGGACAUGGAAAUCAUCCAUCAACAAGUGCAAAGGAAGAAGGAGAAGAUGGCCCGGCUGGCCGAUCUUCAAAGGAAGAUCGACGAAGCUACUGAAGAAGUGUGUCAUCUUAUUCAAGAUGAACAAGAUCAAAGGCCCCAGCACAGGGAGCUUCGUCAAGAGGGCCUAUUCAACGAAGAUGGAUGGUAUGAUGAUUUCAGCCAUGAUACUUUCACUUUUGAUGAUGCUUCUCCCUUGGCAGCAGAACUGUAGGCUACCCCAUGGCCCCCAUCAUACAAGCCACCCCAGCUUCCCAUGUAUGAUGGGCACUCAGAUCCAAAGCAGUUUCUGAUGAGUUACUGUCACACCCGGUUUUAGAAGGCAAACCGAAUGCGAACCAUGUACGUGCCAGGAUCAGUUAUUCACGUACACAGCAGUUACAUAACAUGGACAUCAUCACACAGUGCUCAAAUAGUAUUAAAAAGGGAAAUAAUAGUCGAUUACAUCAUACGUCUGAGACGUCCAUAUAGUCCUUACAAUAAAUCAAAGUGCGGAAAAGAAACGUAGAUAAACGCGGCCUUCACAGGUAGCCGACUGGGGGUUGUCGCUAACCCAUGCCUAGAACUCGUCGUAGUCUUGGAACUCCUGAAGGUCUCCUUCCACAGCUUCAUCUUCUCCUGAGCAGUGGUUGCAAUGCUGACAACCUGGGGAUGGGGGGGUUUGGUGUGUAGAGCAAGGGUGAGUACACAUCAACAUACUCAGCAAGUAUCCUGUUUGGCUGUAGUGGACUAGCUUUAUGUGGGGAUAAGUCAAGCAGUUGCUUUUAGUUGGUCAGAUUAUUAUUUACUAAUAGAAAGCCAGGUUUUAGCAUUAACCCAAGUUAUUAGCCCGAUGUACCCUUUCCAAAUGGAAAGAAUACCACUUACCAGCACCAUAGUCAUAACCAGAACCAUCGAUCUCAUAGCCACCUGUACCAUAAUGUCUCUGAUCAAGUACCACUAAUCACUGGAGCUCCCUUGGCCGCUCAUAACCGUGAGCACGGCUGAUAUAUCAGUUUUCAAACACUCUGCAGAGGUUGUGCACUUUACCCACAAGCCGUGAUUCCCAUUCUGCCCGGAGAGAGCUAAUCCCCAUUAACCACUACCUAGGUGGCCUAGCAGGGCAUCACUACGUAGCCUUUACAAAGAUUCCCCGGGGCUGUAGCCACCCGUUAGGUUUCCUAAAUGCACCGCACUCCUCCCCAAGGGGCGAACCCAAACUUGGCAGAGCGAGCCGCAUACACCGAGACCCAUUGACGGCACGACGGCUAAGUGAACUACACCCCGGAUCCUCUAAUUAUUCAGCUAAGGGCAUCCCAUUCCACCCUCAUGGUUGCACUGUUUUCCCGGGCGGUCAUCCAUAGAACAGGUCCUUACGGAGAGGCACUCGAGAAAUCGCUCGAGCCCCCUUGAAGACCACAAGUAUAACAUCAUCAUAAGAGAGGGGAAAACAGCGUAUCAUAGAUAAUCUCAUCAUGUUCAUUGAUUAGAGUUAAGCAAUAGCAUAAAGCUAAGCAAUAAUAAUCCAACCCAAAUAGGUAAACAAGGACAUGUAUAACAAAGCUAGUCAAUCCUUAGGCAUAAAUGUGUAAAGCGGGAGGUGAAUUAAAGAAUGAAUAGGAUAGAGAUAGGUCAAGGGACACUUGCCUCCACCAACCGACUGCUGCUCAGGGGCUUCUCCUGCGAGUUCCUCGGGCUCUUCAACCGGAUCGUUCUCUAUGCGAUUGCAAGCAUACAUACAUCCAUCCAUUCAAAUUAGGGAACAAACAGUACACCAUACAAGAGAACAAAUGAAGUAAAUAUGCAUAGAAUAUCACAUACUAUAAUGAACUUACCAUGGUUAGAAAGAAAUGAGAAAAGGUCUCGCGAGAGUUAAAGCUUAUGCCCGAGACGCACUACGGGUAAACAAAUGACUAAACGUCACGUGCUCUAGUUCCAAUUGGUUCUAACAAAAGAAUUAGCUACAUGCACUAAUGUAAACGUGACCACUUUUAGUAGAUUAUCAUUGAAUGAGAUAGAUGAUUAGCUAUACAAAUUAACUAACGUAACCAAUUUCCAAAUUGAGACUCCUAUCUUAUUAAUAUAAACACGUGAUUAGCGCACAUAGGACACAGGGGGGUAGACGGGGCGUCUGGGGGUAGACGGGGCACGACGGGUCGUGCCAAGGCACGCACACUACGCGAGCACGUGCGCGAGGCCACACACACACGCCACGAACUAGCCGUGCGCACGUCGGGGCCGAGCGCUAGCCGAGCUCAAAGCCGCGCGCUAAAGGCACGCUGGGCCGAGCUCGAGGCCAAGCCGGGGCCGUCACGACGCGAGCAAGGCACGGCGGGGCGAGCGGGCAAGCGCGCCGGGGCAAGCGAGGACGCGGCCGGGCGAGGACACGGCCGGGCGAGGCCAGGCGCGGGGGCGGGCGGAGCUCGCCGGAGCGGGUCGAGCGCGAGCCCGGGGCGGCGCGCCGGCCGAGCGGGGCCGAGCGAGCGCGGGGAGGGCGGCCGGGCGCGGCUCGCCGGGGGCGGCCGGGCGCGGGUCGCCGGGGGCGGCCGGGCACGGGGCGGCGCGGGUCGCCGGGGCGGCCAUGGAGCCGGGCCGAGCGGGCGCGAGGAGGGCGGCCGGGGCCGGGCGGGCGCGGGACGAGGCCGGGCGCGGCGGGGCGCGGCCGCGGCGGGGUGGGGCGGGCUCACCGAAGCGAGGUCGGGCGAGGGCAGGGAAGGGGCGGGCUCGCCGGAGCGGCCGAGGGCGGGGCGGACGGGCCCGACGGGGGGCGGCCGAGCCGAGGCCGAGCGGCGCGGGGAGGGCGGGCGCGGCCGGGCGCGGGGCUCACCGGAGCGGCCGAGCCGAGCGGGCGGGGGCGGGGCCGAGCGGGGCGAGGCGGCCGAGGCCGGGGGCGGCCGUGCCGGGCUCGCCGGAGAGCGGUGCGGGGAGGGCGGGCGCGGCCGGGCGUGGGGCCGGCCGAGGUCGGUGGCGGGGGACGCCGGCGCGGGACGGGGGCGUCGGGGCGGCCGAGCCGAGCGACCGGGGUGGCCGAGCCGAGCGACCGGGGCGGCCGAGCCGAGCGACCGGGGCGGCCGAGCCGAGCGACCGGGCGGGCGAGGUCGGGGCCGGGGCCGAGCUCGCCGGGGCCGGGGCCGGGCGCGACGGGGCGCGGGGAGGGCGCCGGAGGGAGGGGAGGGAGGAGGGAGGGGGAGGGAGGAGGGAGGGCCUCACCGGAGGGGAGGACGGCGGCGGCGGCGCCGGGGAGGGGCGGCGGCGGCUAGGGUUAGGGUUAGGGUGAGGGAGAGAGAGAGGGGGAUGACGGGCGGGGCCCGCGGGGAGGAUUUUUGGAAAAAAGAAAAGGGGAGGGGGGCGGCUGGGCCGGCUGGGCCCAAAAAGGGGGAGGGGGCGCGCGGCUGGGGCGCCAGGCCGGCCCACGGUGGGGGAGGGCGGCUGGGCCGCCGCGGGGCCCACGCGGGAAAGGGGGGGGCUGGGCCAAAAGGGGAGAAGGGGGGAGAGAGAAAAAGAAAAGGCUUUUUUUUCUAAUUUCCUUAAUUUCUUAUAUGCCUAAUUCUCCACUUCACUCAACCACAAACAAAAGAGUGCAUAAUCCGGCAUGAUGCAACAAAUAAAAAUAGUUCUAGGUUUUGCUUACACAAGAUGUCGAGCUAAUUCUCGCUAUAACUUUUGAAAAAUAACAAGGCUUAGCGAGAAGAAAAGGGAAAAAGGAAAGAGUAACGCCUGAAUUUGGUGAGAGAAAAGAAGAAAAAAUUCUACCCCCAAAUUCAGGGCGUUACAGUUACGAAGCAACUAUAUCUUCGUACGGGGGCAAUAUCGUAGUCAUGGCGAAGUCCUUCGUCAUGGCAGUCCGGAAUGUAGCCCAGACAUGGUAUUGUUCUCUUCGGCCAGGGACUAUCAUGUCGUGGCAGAAGCUCAAGGACAUGCUGGUUACCAGUUUCCAAGGCUUUCAAACGAAGCCAGUCAUAGCUCAGGCCCUGUUCCAAUGCACGCAAGACCACGAAGAAUACCUUCAGGCAUAUGUCCGAAGGUUCUUGCGACUGAGGGCACAAGCGCCUACAGUGCCAAUGAAAUUGUCAUUGAGGCCAUGAUCAAGGGUUUUCGACCAGGACCUACUGCUUAAUAUUUCGCUAGAAAGCCCCCACAGACUCUGGAGAAGUUGCUUCAGAAGAUGGAUGAGUAGAUCCGGGCUGACAACGACUUCCACCAAAGAAGGGAGGAAGCUUACAGAUUCUCUGAGAUGACCAGGGGCUUCAGAGGACAAAUUCACCCGAGGUAUGUCAGGUCGAUCCACAGCUCCAGUUAGAGCGAUGACAAGGGAAGCCAGCCUCAGAGGUCACGGUACACCUCACAAUCUUCGAGGCAACAGCAAAGCUCUUUCAGGCCGCCAGCUCCAAGGGAUAGAGGCGCCAUGGGCUUCGGAGGAAGAUAUGGGGAUCAGCCCAGGAAGAUUUAUUACUUAUUCCGUGGUGAGGACAAGGGCCAUACCACAAGAAUGUGCCAAAUCACCAUUCAGAAGCAGAAGGAGAUCGCGGAAGCCGAAGCUUGGCAGAAUCAGCCGAAGCAGGUCUUGCACACUGCUUCGUGCCACUCUCCCUACAUACCAGAAUAUGUGGGUAAUCAUCCUGCAACUUCUACUGCUUUGGCUAGCCAUUCACAGGCUUCCUGUCCAUAGCUCCCACCCCCACCACCACUGCAACCAACCUAUUCCCGAAGUCAGCAGCCAGAAGGGCGCCAGCACACCGAACAGCAACGGGAGUUCAUGGAGGAAUCCGAAGCUCGCACGGUCAACAGUACUGUGCCAGAAUCAAAGCACAUUUAUUGAGCGAUAUCCUACCCCCGAAAUACUUUUAUGUUCUAUGUCAUUUUGUUUUUCAAUAAGGAACAAUCAAUGUAAAUCUAGUUUUAAUUCCUUGUAAUACUUUCGCUUCUGUCAGAAUGAAAUAUAUAUUCUUCACAGACUUACGAAGCCCAAAAACUACCGAAGCUCAAAAGUCGUUCCUAAGGGAAUGCAGAGCUAAAAAUCGUCGAAACUACAAAAAGUCGUUCCUAAAGGAGCGCAGUGUAAGUUUUGUCGAAACUGCAAAAAGUCAUUCCUAGGGGAGCGCAGUGUAAGUUUUCUGCUCAAAAGUCGUUCCAAAGGGAAUGCAGAGCCAAAUACCACCGAAAUAUAAGGCGAAGAAAUUUAAAAGACGUUCCUAAGGGGAUGCAGAACUUAUACCGCUGAAAUAGAAGGCGAAGAAGUUCAAAAGACGUUCCUAAGGGGAUGCAGAACUUACACCGAAAAAUAAGCGGUGAAGCCGAAAAAUAAACGGCAAAGAGAUUCUGAUCGUUCCUAAGGGGACGCAGAGAUUGUGUGUUUCAACAUGGGCGUGCGGGUGUGUGUCUUCAGCAUUAGCAUCAUAUCAUCACAUCAUCUCGCAUAGCAUCACAUCAUACAUCAUAUCUGUCACACCCGGUUUUAGAAGGCAAACCGAAUGCGAACCAUGUACGUGCCAGGAUCAGUUAUUCACGUACACAGCAGUUACAUAACAUGGACAUCAUCACACAGUGCUCAGAAUAGUAUUAAGAAGGGAAAUAGUCGAUUACAUCAUACGUCUGAGACGUCCAUAUAGUCCUUACAAUAAAUCAAAGUGCGGAAAAGAAACGUAGAUAACCGCGGCCUUCACAGGCAGCCGACUGGGGGUUGCCGCUAACCCACACCCAGAACUCGUCGUAGUCUUGGAACUCCUGGAAGUCUCCUUCCACAGCUUCAUCUUCGCCUGAGCAGUGGUUGCAAUGCUGACAACCUGGGGAUGGGGGGGUUUGGUGUGUAGAGCAAGGGUGAGUACACAUCAACAUACUCAGCAAGUAUCCUGUUUGGCUGUAGUGGACUAGCUGUAUGUGGGGAUAAGUCAAGCAGUUGCUUUUAGUUGGUCAGAUUAUUACUUACUAGUAGAAAGCCAAGUUUUAGCAUUAACCCAAGUUAUUAACCCGAUGUACCCUUUCCAAACGGAAAGAAUACCACUUACCAGCACCAUAGUCAUAACCAAAACCAUCAAUCUCAUAACCACCUGUACCAAAGUAUCUCUGAUCAAGUACCACUAAUCACUGGAGCUCCCUUGGCCGCUCAUAACCGCGAGCACGGCUGAUAUAUCAGUUUUCAAACACUCUGCAGAGGUUGUGCACUUUACCCACAAGCCGUGAUUCCCAUUCUGCCCGGAGAUCAUGACUCUCCAUUGAUCACUACCAAGGUGACCCAGCAGGGCAUCACUACGUAGCCUUUACAAAGAUUCCCCGGGGCUGUAGCCACCCGUUAGGUUUCCUAAAUGCACCGCACUCCUCCCCAAGGGGCGAACCCAAACUUGGCAGAGCGAGCCGCAUACACCGAGCCCCAUUGACGGCACGACGGCUAAGUGAUCUACACCCCGGAUCCUCUAAUUAUUCGGCUAAGGGCAUCCCAUUCCACCCUCAUGGUUGCACUGUUUUCCCGGGCGGUCAUCCAUAGAACAGGUCCUUACGGAGAGGCACUCGAGAAACCGCUUGAGCCCCCUUGAAGACCACAAGUACAACAUCAUAAUAAGAGAAGGGAAAACAGCGUAUCGUAGAUAAUCUCAUCAUGUUCAUUGAUUAGAGUUAAGCAAUAGCAUAAAGCUAAACAAUAAUAAUCCAACCCAAAUAGGUAAGCAAGGAUAGGGAUAACAAAAGCUAGUCAAUCCUUAGGCAUAAAUGUGUAAAGCGGGAGGUGAAUUAAAUAAUGAAUAGGACAUAGAUAGGUCAAGGGACACUUGCCUCCACCAACCGACUGUUGCUCAGGGGCUUCUCCUGCGAGUUCCUCGGGCUCUUCAACCGGAUCGUUCUCUAUGCGAGCGCAAACAUACAUACAUCCACAUAUUUAAUACAAAAGAACAGUACACCAUACAAUAGAAUGCAAUAAGUAAACAGACGUUCCACGCGGGCUCGCGAGUACGGUUAAGAGAGAAAGAGGAAAAGACAGUCGAGAAACGAUCACGUUACAUGAUUAUAAAUUAACCACUCGCUUAAUGGAAGGAAAUUUAAUGUAGACACUAUGUUUAGCGUAAAGUAAAGUCAUGUUUCAUGUCUAAUUAUUAUAAGCAGGUGGAGGUAAAUAAAAGGAUGGUCGCGCGGCGAGACGCGCGACAAAGCUCUCUAAAACAAAUUAAGAAGUUAACGACUCGUCGCGCGACCAAGCACGCAACGAGACACUUCGCCUUAGUUAAGAGGAGACGUUAAGCGUCGCGCGACGAAGCGCACGACGGCAUACGUCGACUAAACUGAGUCCAAAGUGGAACGUCGCGUGAAUACACACGCGGCGUUACACCUUAAACAACCUGAAACAAAAAUGGAUCGUCACGCGACGAAGCGCACGACGCAACACAAGAUAGAAUCUAAAAUUAGACAAAUCCGUCGCGCGGCGAAGCGCGCGACGCAACACGCUAAUUAACAAAUAAUCACCGCGAGCGCUGGCGAGCGGGGGCACGGUCGGGCGAGGCCGGGGCGGGGGAACGGGCGGCCGAGCCGGGGCCGGGGCGGUUGAACCGGCCAGGGGCGGCCGAGUCGGCCGGGGCCGAGCCGGGGACACGCCGGGGGCCGGAGGCCGCGCCGGGGUCGCGCCGGCGAGCAGGGGUCACCGGGGCCGCGCCGGGCCACGCCGGGGGCGCGCCGGGGCCGCGCUGCGCGCGAGCAGGGGAGGAGCGGGGGCGGGCGGGCACCGCCACGGGGCCGGGACGGGCGGGCGCCGCCGCGGGGCCGGGACGGGCGGGGAGCGCCGCGCGGGGCCGGGGAAGGGGCCGAGCGGGGAGGCCGAGCGGGGGCCGAGCGGGGGGGCCGAGCGGGGGCCGAGCGCCGCCGGGGAGGGAGGCCGGGCGGGGGGGCGAGCGCCGCCGGGGAGGGAGGCCGGGCGGGGGGCCGAGCGCCGCCGGGGAGGGAGGGGGAGGGGCCGCGCGAGGGGAGGCCGGGGACGGGCGCCGAGCGCCGCCACGGGAGGGGGCGGGCGGGCGAGCGCCGCCGGGGAGGGCAGCCGGGCGGGGCCGAGCGCCGCCGGGGCCGGGGCGGGCAGGGGCGCGCGCGGGCAGGGGAAAAGGGGAGGGAGAGAGAGAGAGGAGAAGGGGAGGGGAGGGGAGCUCACCUCGGGGUCCAAAAUCCGGUGAUCGCCGUCUCCAAAUCCUAGGGCACCACGGGGAGAGAGAGGUGGAAGAGGGAGAGGAGAGGUUGUUGCGCGGGAGAUCCAAAUGAGAGAGAGAGGGGAGGGGGGCGCAUGGGGGGGGAGGUUUGGGCGCCAGGGGCGCGCAGGCCGGGGCGGGCCGGGCCGGCUGGGCUGGGCUGGACUAGGUUGGGCCGGGCCACUUCGCGGAUUGAAAACCCACGACGAGCGCGGACCACUAAACGGAAUUAAAUCGCAAAUCGAAAUCCGGAACGGAACGAGACGAACACUCAACAUCAGACAAAGAAAUGCUUCGGCAUGAUGCAACACCCAUGACACUUAGGUUUUGGUUUAUACAUGACACGGACACCUGCCGCUAUACUGGUUUGAAAUUGGGGAGAAGGAGCAAACGGGGAAAGAGAAAAGAGAGUAACGCCCGAAUUUGGUGAGAGAAAAGAAGAAAAAAUUCUAACCCCAAAUUCAGGGCGUUACAAUAUCACACCAAGGACACGAAUUGAAUACGAAGUCGAUCUUCGGAGAAUGCUUUAUAAAAAUGAAAAUGUGCUAAGGCACAAAGUAAGUUGAGAAAUACAGUUUCAUCAGCUCUGUUGCAAAAGAAGGGGUCCCUUGUUUACGAAUCAUGGAUGUUUUUACGAAGCUUGGAUGUUUUUACGAAGCUUGGAUGUUCUUACGAAGCAUGGAUAUUUUCACGAAGCAUGGAUCUUUUUUCUUUACGAAGCAUGAAAAGAAGGGAAGGUGUUUUUUCGCCGAAGGCUCAAUAACGGUAUGUAUAUAAAAAUUUCAUGCAUUGCAAAGAAGUGAAUUACCAAAUAAUUUACAUAUUAGAUUCAAAGAUAUACACAUCGAAUAUUAUAGUCUUGUUACAGCAAAGCUACAUUGAUCAUCUAAAAAUGUUUUACAAUAAGUACUACUCCUCUUUCAAGAUCUUCUCCGCAACUUCAUUUAGCAACUUGUUAACGACUUCAUCAACAAUAGAUUCGGCCAUAUUGAUGAUCUCCAGUGCUUUCUUUGUUUCUGGGUCGGCCAGUGGAUCGAACGGUUCUGGUGGCGGAGAUAAUUCAACUACAGUGAAAAAUUAAUCAGUCUGAAGCUACAAAAACAAAUGCUGAAGCUAGAUGCCACGAAACAAUACCUAUGCGUCUCUCGCGCUCUGCAGCUUCUUCAACUUGUUUUGCUUGUACUCGGGCGUCAUGGAUGUCUUUCUCGCUUUUCUUCAAAAUUUUGUGAGCCAUCUCUCAGCCACCAUUUACCCAGAUGUCAUUAUAAAAUUUCCCACCUAUUAAACUUGCUUCAGCUGAGGGAUCCUUUGUAUCAUCCACGGAGAAGGCAGCUUCGGCCUGGGCCAGGGUCUUGACAUGGUCGCAUCUCGCCUUCUCCAGGAUGGCUGAAAUCCCCCUUGCACCAGAGAACGUGCAGACAUCCCCACGAUCACUUAAAAUUUCUUUGAAAGCUUCGGCCUCUCCACUUAUCCAUUCGAUAACACCUUCAGGGUCGCCUUGUAUGAAGUUAUCUUCGUUAGAAUAGGCACCCACAUUGGCAAAGCUAGCCUGUAUUUUCUCCAUGCAGCCCAAAGAUUUUUUAAAGCGUCUUUCCUUGGAUGCGCGAAGUUCUUCAACUGUUUUCUCUAAAUAAUUUUUCCAAUAUUCGCUGCUCUCUCGGUUAGCUUCUGCGAGAGCGCAUUUUUCUUUAGCUUCUGCCAACUGUUUCCAAAGGUCUUCGAUUUCAUUCUUUUGGAUUUCGGUCUGAGCCUUGAAACUAGCUUCAUCUUCUUUCACUUUGUUUACCAAUGAAAUCAAGAUUUUGUCUUUUCAAGACCUUCGUUCCUUAAUUCAAUUACCUCUGAACGAAGGUUGUUUAGAGCCAUCGUAUACCCUUCAUCUUCAAUGUUUUUCUGGGCCCUUAGCGCAUUGCUAAGAAUCAGGCCCUGCAAAUGGAGGAAAGAAUAAGUAUGACAAAUAAAAUACCCCAUUAUUAAGUUUAAAUAUAACUCGUAUACCUUUAUGCUAUUAUACGCUAAGCUGUCAGCAAGCUUAUCCUUCGAUAAGAUUGAUAGGCCAUCUUCCAACUUCGGGAAUCUGAUGCUUCUACCUAUCUCCCAGCAAACGGAUAUCUCUUUAUUAUCCGGGAGACAGUACAAAAAAUCUUCUUCCCCAGUGCCAUUAAACACUAACGCCCCCUUCAGAUAUUUCAACUUUUGGGCAUAAUGUAGUGCUUCUAGCUUUUCUUCUUGAGAAAGUCUUUUUCCCGAAGCAUGACGAAUGAUGUAAUCAAUGCUUUCCUUUGAAGCUUCGGGAGCAAGAGUUUCAACCUUUUUAAACGCAAUUUUCUCUGUCGCCUUUUCUUCAAUUACGACAGGCUCUUUCUCAGGGGGCACUAAAGGCCCAGCUUCAGUUUUAGCCUGAAUCGUUGCAGUUUCGACUUCUGCCUGUUUCGUUUCAGUUCUGGAUUGUGCCUUGGAAGCUUCGGCAAUUUUUCUUGUAGGAGCAGGACUCAAGAUUUUUGAUGUUUCUAAUACAACAUCUAGCACAUUCGCCAUCCUUCUCCUCUUAGGAGUUGCAGUGGAGCUUUUUUGUACCUUCGGCACUGUUGCCUCUAUCGAAGGGCUCAAAAUCUCUGGUAUUUUUGGUAUUUCUUCAAUUUUUGACCCUUCAGUUUUAUCAGAUGUCGUCUCAACUAGUUUAACAGAAGGUAACUUCAGGAUUAAAGCCGGCUUUUCAGUCUUCUUCGCAGGAGGAGCGAUCUCUUCUGUUUUGGCAGCUGAAGAGGCCCCUUCGUCAAAUUUAGGUAUCACAACCGGUUCGAUGUAACGUGGUCGAUGAGUCAGAACUUUCAACUUUUUUCCCUUCGGCACAGGCUCAUCUGGGGUGGCCGAAGUAGCAGCUUUCCUCUUUUUACCUUGUCCCCGCAGCGGGUAGCGGUAGUCGGGGUAAUCGAAGCCAAUCGCGUCAAAAACUCUAUUCAGUCUCUUCUUUCCCCAACCUCCAAAGGCUACGGAUAGUGCAUUAUCUUCUGCCUUGGAAUAUGCUCCAAGCAGUUCAUCACUUGUAGCUUCGAUGCACUUCAGCCAGUCAUCAUUUGGUUCAUCAAACUUAUCCCCAAAUCUGAAUGUAUACUUUAGCCGUACCAAAUCACCUUCGCUAGAGUUAGUGAUGGUCUCCUUCGGCAUUUCCCAGUUUUCCACAAGUGGCCAUACUCUGAAUGCUAUAUGUUCUUGAAUUAAAUCUCUUGUGCCAAUGAAGGAGCAGACGGUACUGAAGGCCUUAUGACACGCUUCGGCGGCGUCGUCAAUUUCGACUUUCGGCUUUCAGAGGCCGAAGCGGGACCAAAUGGGGCGCAUUAUGACUUCCUUAAUAUCUUCUCUCGCUGUCAAAUCAUUCUUCACAUAAAACAACUCUUCCAUCCAGGCCCCGGGCCAUCUUUUUCGAAAUGUCGGCACCGGGUGGCUUGCGUUGGGGCGGGCGAUAAACCCAUAAUAAUCGAAGUUGUUGUGGUACUGUUCUUUACCCAUGGCCUUCGUCUCAUAUAGUAGUUCGUGCAUAUUGCAGAAGCACUUCACGCUUGGUUCUAACCCCUGGCUCUUUACUGCCCAGACAAAAAUCCCCAUCCUUAUUAUGGCUUCGGGGGUGAUCUGAUGAAGGAAGAUUUGGUACGUCUUCAGCACUUCAACUACAAACUUACUCAAAGGGAACCGAAGCCCAGCCUUGAAGAAGCUUCGGAAAAUCACAACUUCGUUCUCCUCAGGGGCAGGGACGUUGUUGUCUCUGCUAACCCUCACAAUAGACAUAUCCCGAAAGUACCUUCCCAUCAUAUUUUCAAGAUGACUCUAUUUGAUGGUCGAUUUUUCGAAGAUUGAAUGACUUGGCCUCCAGGGCCGAUCCUCAGAAUCUUCGUCCCCACUUUCCACAUCAUAGCUAUCGCUAUCACCAGUAUCUUCGGACAGGCCCUCCAGUAUCUCUUUAGUAAUCUUCUCUGUAUUUGUUUUUGCCAUCGACUCGACAAAUCCAGCAAUGUAAGAAUCCACAGUCUUCUUCUCCUCAAAAAGCUUCUCCUCUUCAGCCAGCUUCGUCUCAGCAGCAAUCUUCUUGUCUUGAGACAUUUUUUCUUCAGAAAUGAUGAAAAUGUGUGUUUUAAACCGAAGCUCAAGGAGCUUGAAAAAUUAGCAAGCGCUAGUGAGCAAGAGCUAUAAAAUUGAGAAAAUAAAGCAAAUGGCACAAGCAGCGUAUCAAAUGCAGCUGGUGUGAGUUCUUAUUUAUACGCUCAGCGCGCUGCAAAGUGGAGGGCCCCAUCUGUCAUUGUUUAUUGCUAUUCUAGCAAAGGGAAGGUGUUUUUUGGACCUUCGGCUUAAAGCCUUCGUCCAUAUCGCAGUCUAAAUUCGUUAUCUUAACAAAUUAAUACUGCGAGGGGCUACUGUUGGGGGCCUUCGUCUUCCGAAGGUCCUCAAAAACAUGAUUGAACAAUGUCUUCCAAGUGUGACAUAUGAACAGGUACCUUCGGACUCAGGUUAAAAGCAUAUACAAUGUGAAGAGCAUGAUCGUGAUGAAGGUUGGUGUUGCUCCGAAGCUACGAAUAAGAGAGCUUCGACUUAAUGGCGGAAAAAGGAACCGACUUAAAGGGGAAAAGGCUAUCUAGUCCCCAUUGGGUUGUCUAUAAGUCAAUAGCAAAUAUGAAGGGCAUGAAUGUAAUUUCUCACAAGCUGCGUCCUACGCCUAUAAAUAGAUGAACAGUACCCCCGUACUGUUCACGCUGACUUGUACUCGUUUAUGCGUCACGCUUGUACUUUUAUCUUCUAUCAAGCUGAAGGUACAUUUGUAAUUCAAUAUUAUUUCUGUCUUUCCAUGAUAAUAUAAUGAGAAUGAAUUAAUAAUGUUAUAUGAUUGUUUAUGUUGUCUUCUAUAUUUUGUAUGCUUCUUCUUUUAUUAACAUAUACCAUGAUGAUGAAGGUAUGUCCUUCAAAACCUUCGUCUGAAGAUUAUUAUAUCCUAAGGGAAAUAAUGCUUCGAAGGACGAAGGGCAUUAUCAUUUAACAUUUUGUGUUGCCUUGUUCUUAAUUCAUAGCAUUUGAGAACAAGUCUCCAACAGGAGAUAACCUUUGGAAGACGAAGGUCUUUAAUCUUUAACAAUUAUGUUGCCUUGUUCCUGAUUAACGACAUUUGAGAACAAGUGAACAACAUUGGUGUCCACCUCCAGUGAACUCACUUCUACGACGACAACAAUGGCUUCACAAGGUGACCAAGUUGUGACACCUUCGGCUACGAAGCUGAUGCUUCCAAUCAUAGGCGGCUCAAGCUCUGAACCAGCCAAUAAGAAGCAGAAGAAGGAAGCACAAAGAAGGGUACAACAUGUUGGAGUGCAAGGACCCUUCAUCAAAUCCAAGUGGUCUCAUGUACCAAUCACAUUCUCCCAGGAAGACCUUCAGCUCAAGGACUACCCACAUAAUGAUGUAAUGGUCAUAUCUUGUGUUAUUACAGGGUUCCUGGUUCACAAUGUCCUUGUAGACAUAGGCACUGCGACAGAUAUCAUCUUCGCAAAAGCCUUCAGGCAGAUGCAGGAGCAAGAUGACAAGAUACAUGAUGCAACACACCCCUUAUGUGGUUUCAGAGGAAGGAAGAUAGUGGCACUUGGAAAGAUAACAAUGCCAUUCACCUUUGGUUAUGUUCACAACACAAGAGCAGAACAAGUUGUAUUUGACAUUGUCGAUAUGGACUAUCCUUACAAUGCAAUCAUUGAUCGAGGACGUUGAAUGCCUUCGAAGCAAUACUCCAUCCAGCAUAUUUGUGCAUGAAGAUACCUUCUGACCAAGGUCCUAUCGCUGUGCAUGGAAGUCAAGAGGCUGCCAGAAGGGCCAAAUGGAACUGGACAGAUUAAAAGGCCAUCCAUAACAUAGAUGAAGUCGAAGCUCAUCAACAGUAUAAACAUAAAAGAGAUAUGGCUUCUUCAGCAAAUCAACCAAAGCCUAUGCUUCUGUGCGAAGACAUAGCCGAGCAGAAGGUGUUGUUGGGGUCCCAAUUGUCCGAUGAAUAAGAGAAAACUCUGUUAAAGUUUCUGUUCAACAAUAAGGAUGUUUUUGCUUGGUCAGCUAACGAUCUUUGUGGUGUCAACAGAGAUGUCAUUGAACACUCACUCAAUGUAGAUCCUGCUAUUAGACCAAGGAAGCAGAAACUUCAGAAGAUGUCCGAAGACAAAGUCGAAGGUGCAAGAAAUGAAGUCAAAAGACUACCGAGUGCCAGAGUAAUCAGAGAGGUGACAUAUCCAGAGUGGCUAGCCAAUACUGUGAUGGUGAAAAAGGUCAAUGGAAAGUGGAGGAUAUGUAUUGAUUUUACGGAUCCCAACAAGGCAUGCCCAAAGGAUGAGUUCCCCUUGCCAAGAAUAGACUUCUUUGUGGACGCAGCAGCCACUUCGGAGCUCAUGAGUUUAUUGGACUGCUAUUCAGGCUAUCAUCAAAUCUGGAUGAAGAAGGAAGAUGAGCCUAAAACAAGCUUCAUAACCCCUAGUGGGACUUACUGGUACCUUCGGAUGCCCGAGGGGCUCAAGUGUCACACCCGGAUUUAAGGGACAAAGCCGCGUGCGUCUUAUAUGUGCGCCAAGAAAGAACAACACAUAUAAUAACAGAGUGCAUAAAGAUAGUGUCAACACCCGGAUUUAAGGGACAAAGCCGGGUGCGUCUUAUAUGUGCGGCAAGAAAGAACAACACAUAUAAUAACAGAGUGCAUAAAGAUAGUGUCAACACCCGGAUUUAAGGGAUAAAGCCGGGUGAUCUGGAAAAUACCCGGAAUUAGGAACAAGAAUUUUGUGGCUUUUGCUUUUUUGUGUCCAUUGUUGAGGACACCAGUAAACAAAGUGUAUGUGCUAUUAUUGAAUAAUUUUGUUGUUUACAUAAACAAUAGCAUGAACUCGUGACUCCGUUUGUGAUGCUUGAUAAGAUGGUGUCUACAAUAGUUUAAUUUGGUUUGUAUCAGAUUAAUAUUAUUGGUUGUUUGGGUGAUUGAUGGUAAUAUGUGUUGCGUCUUUUUAUGUAUAUGUUUUACUAAUAUUUUAUCGAAUAAAUUUGUGUGUCGUCCUGUUGGUUGUUAUACAUGAUGUAGGUGUUUUCAAUACAUGUAUGUUUAUAUGUAAAAUGUGUGCAACUAAUAUAUAUUAAAAUUGAAUAAUUUGUGUGCCGUCGAGGCAUUGUACUAGUAAAUUAUAAUAUCUGUCAUUUAAAGGCUGCCAAAAAAACGAACGAUUGUAUGGCGAUAAACCUUGUAUACGUGACACAUAUGGCAGGUAUUGAUCUAAAACAGGCGAUACACACAUUACGAUUGUAUAGCGAUAAACCUUAUAUACGUGACACAUAUGGCAGGUAUUGAUCUAAAACAGCCGAUACACAGAUUUUGUUACUCUAACAAUGUAAAAUGGAAACAGAUAAAUAAUCCUACGUGUUGAUACGGGCCGGGCGAGGCCUGCCUUUUCGACUGUGUGAAGGCACGGGAGUUAAAUAUCGUUGGUAACAAAUGGUGGGAUUUGAUUUUGUGGAGAAACGAGUGGAUGGACGGAAUUGGACAGCAGUCGAUGAAGAAGCAAGGAAGGAAGGGUCGCUGUCUAGUUUGUCGUGGCCGUAAUUCUUGUGGUGGUUUGCCUGCUACUACUGCUUUUUUUCCGUGAGCUGAGCUGAGCUGGUCCUCGUCGUGCCGUCAUCGUUCUCCAAUCUUCCAUGCCUACGCGUCGACAGGUCGGCGGACCGCGGCCGCUGCUUGUGGGCGCCGUCGCGCCAAACCGCGCCCACCACGUGCUGCCUACUCACAACUUUCACGGUGCCAAAAUGAUGGAUAUAUGUGUGCAGCACGGCUCGCCGGAGCCUGGCCAAACACAUACGUUCACACGUAUCCACAUAUAGGUAAAAGCCUCUGAAAAAAACGUAAACUACACCACGCAUACCACCUGAUGGCAUCAAUCAAACAUAUACAGACACUUAGUCAACAUAUACGAUCAGCCAGGCUACCCACAACCAAACACACGCAAACUGAUUAUUACCAAGAGAUUUGAACAGGCACCAUAAGGAAUUCGUUUGCUUUUACUUAAUUAUAUGCUUUAAUGAAUCCACACCUUUAUUUGCUAUAUAAUUAGUUUAUUACCAAAUUGUUGCAGUAGAAACAAGAUUACAUGUAUAAAAAAAAACAGACUCCCUUCGCUGUCUCGUCUUCCCUGGGCUCUCUCUCUCCCUGCAAAAGGGCCAAGGCAAGGAUUCUCGUUCUCCUCCAGGUUGGUUUGGAUUCCUGUUCUGUUCGCACCGCCUCCGCCUCCCUCCCUCCCUCUCCCCUUCCGGACUCUCUGCUCUCCUCUGCUGCUAGUCCAUCCAUUAAUCUCCUCUCCUCGCCAUCGCCGCACUCACGCUACGCUUCCCUCCUCAAGCCCGAGGUACAGUAUCUAUUCCCGCUCUCUCUUUUCUUCUUCUUUCUCAUAAUACCAAACCAAACCAUGCUCUGCUCUACUAGGGCUUCUCCGGGAAGGAAUCGCCGCGCCGGGUUCCUGCAACGCCCCGCCCUUUGCGCACCCGGAGGUAACUGACGCCAUCUCCGUUUCCUCGUCUCCUCCUGCUGCUACUAGCCUACUACUACUACUAGUCUACUCCGGCCGCCGUGGCAUUCGCUUGCCGCGCCGAAUCCACCUGCCUGCUCUUCGACUAGUUCGGUACUACUUACUUCCCCUUCGAUUCAUGCCGUUCUGCCUGCUCCCUCUUCCCUUCGCGCAUUCGCUCGCCGCUCGCCCAAGCUCGCAACUUUUCGCUUCCUCUCCAAUCUUCUUCCUUCUUCUGCCCUGCCUAUCUACUACUUCAGCUCGGCGGUUUUGGGCCGCCGGACGCUCGGAGGUAGGCCGCGAUUGCUGUUUUUUUGUCCUAUUAAAAAAAAAUCUUUUGACUACCUCCGUUCGUUCAUUCAUUCACAAUAUGACAAUAGGCACUCGAGUUUCCUUCGUUCCUUUUUUUUACACCACAAACACACACACCCACAAAAUGUGCAACAUUUUUUGUGCCAGCAAGCAAUGAUUCUGCAUCGCGUGGUUGCCCUGUGUUGCUCAUGAUCGCACGCAAGACUGUUCCACCUAUCAAUCAAUGGAACCCCCAGCCGAAUCGAAUCUACAACUUGAGUAAAGUAAUGGCCUUCCCCUGCCCUCAUCGAUUCUUCAGCCUUCACGUCUCCCUCUCUCCUAUAUUCAUUCUUCAUGCUACCGCCAAUAAUCCACAAUUUUGGGUGCACUACCGACCGACUCACUUCAGCUUCAAUCUUACAAUUUGUAGUCGAUGCAGACCUUGUGCUGCAGCCGAGUACUUAUUUGUCAGCAUCAACCUUUGUUUCCCUGCCAGUAAUGCCUGACAGUACUUAUUCGUGUUUAAGUGCCAAAUAACUAAGAUUUUAUGCUGCUGAGGUUGAUCAGCUUAGCACUUCACCUGUUACCACUAUUUACCGUCCUUCCAAGAUCUGUAACUAAACUGGGCCAGUGUCCACCUGCUACCACUAUGUAUAGCCCUUGUGGAUUUCUGCAGCUGCAGUUUGCUAUGAUGCUCGUUAGCAGACGAAGGCAGGAAAAAACGAAGUAGAUCAACCAACAAAUCAUAGAGCACGACACACAGAUUUACGUGGAAAACCCUUCAAUGCGAAUGGAAAAACCACGGGCACCAGACAGACGAAACCUUCACUAUAUGUGGAGUGUUUAUAGAAUGCCGUUCGUAGACGGCGGCUUACAAGAGGAGUAAAUAAUGACGACGCGCAACAGACCCUAAUUAGGGUCACUAAUAUAUUCGAACAUACGCUCUGGCCUAAGCCUCCCGGCGACGGGCCUCCAUAUGCAGAAUUUGGAUCACAAACUCAACAAUGCUAAGCAUAUAAACACACAGGCAGCUAAACAUCCAAGGUGUGCUAGGUUGCAGCAAAACAUAUAUGCUGUUCAUCUUACCCAAGUAACACCAUUUGUAUGAGUUUUAACCAUUAGGCAUUGGUUGUCAGACAGUGUUAACCAUUAUGCAGUUCUUUUGGUGUCUUAUGCAUUUGUAAAUAAAGUAAUAAACUAGACAUGCUAAUGCCAACCUAUUCCUGCAGCAACUGAGUCGUGGCUAUCGAGGAUGAUGCCGCGUUUCAGAUAACAGAGACUGUGAGAGUGCACGACACACUUGACAUGCAGAGAUGAAGAUCAGUGCGCUUCUCACCUCCGCGGGCAUCAACAUUGGCCUCUGUGUUCUCUUCCUGUCACUCUACUCCGUUCUCAGAAAGCAGCCGGCCAAUGUCAGGGUCUACUUCGGCCGCAGGAUCGCUGAGGAACACGAUCGGCUCCGAGGGGCAUUUAUCUUGGAGAGGUUUGUCCCAUCCACUGGAUGGAUAGUCAAAGCCCUGCAGUGUACUGAGGAAGAGAUCCUGGCUGCUGCUGGGUUGGAUGCUGUUGUUUUCAAUAGAAUUCUAGUAUUCAGGUACGGUGUGCAAAACUUACUCCCUUCUUCCAUUUUCGUUUCAUUUGUGUCAUGAAACUUUCAUAAUAGUGCAUGUGUAUAACCUCAGUAACAAUUGGCAGACUGAUGCAUUUGUUUAUAUAUUCAACAGCAUACGCAUCUUCUCCCUUGCCGCAGUUUUGUGUGUUUUCGGGAUUCUUCCACUCAAUUAUUUUGGACAGGAUAUACACCAUGUUCGAAUUCCUUCAGAAUCACUAGAUAUAUUUACAAUUGGCAAUGUAGAAGUGAAAUCAAGAUGGUAAGCCAAGCAACGUCUUUUUUAAUCUAUUAUCAUGUGCUGCCAUCAACUGCUGAAAUGUUGUGCUUUUGUAUAUUAUAUAUAUGGCACGUUAGUUGCUGGCAUUUUGAAAAUGUCAUUUGCCUUUGCCGGUAAUCUACCGUGCGUCUUCACCCAACGAGCACUGUACAAUAGAACAAAGUGUAUGUUUUGAUGUUCACUUUUUAUUCUGGGUCCCUUGUAGGCUCUGGGUCCAUUGUGUAACCCUGUACAUAAUUUCUGCAGUAGCUUGCAUUCUUCUAUACAUUGUAAGUUCGCUUCCCAUUUGGAUUACUGGAAUGCACAUCUCCUUGUAUCCAGAAUGUUUUUGACGAUUCAUUUUACCCAUAAUCCAGGAGUACAAGCACAUUGCCAGGUUGAAGCUCCUUCAUCUUACAAGCGCAACACCAAAACCAAACCAUUUUACAGUUCUUGUUCGUGGAAUACCAAAGGCAGAUAAAGAAUCAUGCAGUGAUGUUGUUGAUAAUUUCUUCACAAAGUAUCACUCAUCUAGUUAUCUCUUCCAUCAAGUAGUUUACAAAGUCGGGAAAGUUCAGAAGAUAAUGGUACUUAACACUCAAAUGCAUUUCACUUUUUCUAAUGACAAGCAUUUACUAGUAUAAACCUGUUUCUUCUGUUGAUUAGAUUUUCGCACAUAUGGAUAAUCAUUUUUUUUGUAUUUUUACAUGAAUCCGUGGAAAUGUCUGCAUUUGUUUUUUUGGUGGUGGUGGAGUGGAAGUUAUGCAUAUUUCUAUUUCACUUUAUUUAUGUUUUUUGUGUUACUUUAAUCUUCAUCUCUGACAGACUGGCGCAAAGAAGGCAUAUAAGAAGUUCAAACAUUUCACAGAUGAAACUGUCGAUCAAGGUUGCAGGACAGUUACCUACCGCUGUUGUCUGUGUGGAGCUUCUUCAAAUUCUUUCAAGUUGUUGAACACUGAGUGUGAGCAGAACAAGGGGAAAGCGGACAAUAAAUCCAUCUUGGACUUAGACGAUGAGGUUAAGCUUGCAUGCAUUUGUUCUUUUGCUUAACCUAUCAGUUAUUUAGAAUAAUUAGUAAUUAUCGUGUGGGAUUGAAUGCAGGAAUGCACAACUGCUUUUGUAUUUUUCAAAACUCGGUAUGCAGCACUUAUUGCGUCAGAAAUACUUCAAACAUCUAACCCUAUGAAAUGGGUUGCUAAUCUUGCUCCAGAACCAGAAGACGUGUAUUGGUCCAAUCUUUGGCUACCCUAUAAGCAACUUUGGGCUCGCCGUAUUGCUACACUCCUAGGCUCUAUCUUUUUCAUGUUCAUAUUUCUGAUACCGGUGACAUUUAUACAAGGACUAUCUCAGCUAGAGCAGUUGCAGCAGAGGCUUCCUUUCCUAAGAGGAAUAUUGAAGAAGUGAGUACAGAACUUCCAGUUGUGCUCCCCUAAUGACAGUAUAAAAAUCAUCUUGAUAGAGUUUGACAUAUGCUGUGAUCUCAUGUUGCUAGACGCCAAUGUUUUCAAGUCGGACGACUUACUGGUCGUUCUGGCUGACCGACUAGGGCGAUUAAUCACGAUUAGUCGGACGACUUGGACGAUUAAUUGUAAUUGGUCCAAACCGACUUGGACGAUUAAUCGCGAAUAAUCAUGAUUAAUCGGACGACUUGAAAACAUUGCUAGACGCUAUUCAUUUAUCUGUCUCCACAAUAUACCUAUUAACUGUUAUUUAUGUGCAGGAAAUACUACAUGACUCAGCUAGUAACUGGGUACCUUCCCAGUGUCAUACUGCAAAUCUUCCUGUACAUUGUUGCUCCAAUUAUGAUGCUGUUUUCUACAUUGGAGGGCCCUACAUCUCACAGUGAAAGGAAGAGAAGUGCUUGCUGUAAAGUGCUGUACUUUACAGUUUGGAACAUAUUCUUUGCUAAUGUAUUAUCUGGUACUGUCAUUAGUCAAUUGAAUGUGUUAUCAAGCCCAAAGGACAUACCUGUCCAGCUUGCUAAAGCUGUACCUGGACAGGUAAAUCACAUUCUUUUUUUCCGGUUCAUGCUAUAUAAAGAACAAGAUCUUGGCUAAGAUAUAUAAAUUUCUUGCAUAUGCAAAUAUACUAUAUUUGUUCUGUAUUUAAUUUUCAUCUAAUAUUUCUUUUGCUUUUCUGCAAAUCUAAUUUUACUCCAGGCCACUUUCUUCAUCACCUAUGUCCUGACCUCAGGAUGGGCUAGUUUGUCAUCUGAAGUUAUGCAACUCUUUGGUCUGAUAUGGAACUUUAUAAUCAAAUACGUUCUGAGAAUGAGAGAAGAUACAGAAUUCGUUCCCUCGUUUCCUUACCACACAGAAGUACCAAAAGUUCUGUUGUUUGGACUAUUGGGCUUCACAUUUUCUGUGCUGGCUCCUCUGAUCUUACCUUUUCUGCUGGUGUACUUUUGUCUUGGUUAUGUUGUAUACCGCAAUCAGGUGAGAAGCUAGAGGAUGUAUCCUUGUUAUUUACCCCAAAUUUAUCUGUAGCAUGCUAAUAUACUAUUCUUUUCAGUUGCUCAAUGUGUAUCGAACAAGGUAUGACACAGGUGGUUUGUAUUGGCCAAUUGCAUACAACACAGUCAUAUUCUCACUUGUGCUCACCCAGAUCAUCUGCCUUGGUGUAUUUGGCCUUAAAGAAUCGCCGGUAGCUGCAGGCUUCACUGUACCUCUUAUCAUCCUUACUCUUUUGUUUAACCAGUACUGCAGAAACCGGCUUCUUCCAUUAUUCAAGACUUUUCCAGCACAGGUAAUAACGUUAGUUCUUUAAUAAUAUCAUGUUGAAAUGUCAGUUGCUAUCUUGUGAUGUUGACUGCUGCAAUGUGAUUGUGCAGGAUUUAAUCGACAUGGACAGGGAAGAUGAACGAUCAGGAAGAAUGGAUGAAAUUCACCACGGACUUCAUUCUGCUUAUUGCCAGUUCGCUGACACUGUAGAUGUGCCCUUGGAUAAAAUUGAAAUCGUUGGUGGGGAUGAGGAGCAAGGCUCUAGCUCGGGUCAGUCCAGUGUUAAAGAAACGUGCGAGGAUCCCAAGAAGCACCUGGCUCACCCUACACUAAAAGGACUCCCUGUUAACCGCCUCCGGCAUGCCGUGAGGUCGGUUACUUUCCUGAUCAGAUUGCAGAGAAGAGGUUUAUCAGAACAGAAAAUCGGAUAAUUAGUUAGCCGCCAACCCCCUUUGCUUGUUGGCUAUAUAAAUGUACAGAGGCAUACAUGCAUAUACGAUCGUUCCCUUAGAAGAGAGAAGGGCUAAUGUAGAAGUCUGUGGGAGAACAUCAUCAUGAGUGUUGAGGUGCAAUUUUGUUUUGUCGCAUGGAUGAGUUUGUUGGUUCUGCGGGUUAUCUGGCAGAUUCAGCUACCCAAACCUUAGCCUUGCACGUUGAUGAAAUUAAUGCUCAUGGUUUUGUUGUAAGAGAUUAAUGUGGCCAAAGUGAUCUAGAUGUAUAAUGUCCUCCUCUCCAUUGGUUUGUGUUUGAGCCUCGCAACUUUAGCAGGUCUGUUAGUCUUCAUGCGCCAAUCAUAUUGAGGUAUUGAGAAUUAUACUAAUUGGUUUGUCUGACAAGCUGUAAGCAUGUUAGUCCAUGCUGUCGAGCAGCAGGUGUGGAGGUUCUUAACAUGUAGCAUUGAGCUGGUAUCUGCAUAUCUGCAGCUGUUGGGUAUCAUAUUCCUUUUUUUAAGAACAUGACCUUGGCGACGUCUUACCACGUUUUUUUUAUUGAAAGUAGAAUUACGCGAUGCAAUCAUAAGAGACCCUUAUACCGUAGGUUAUAAACCAUAAAAGAUCAUAAGAGACCCUUAUAGCGUAGGUUAUAAACCAUAAAAACUAAUUUGGAAACAAGUAGAUUGGAGAGUCUAAAAUUAUAUUUAUAUUUAAUUUAAAUAUAAAGAGGAUUUAAGCCUCUCAAGCCUCUGACUCCCAAACUAGUUCUAGCUCUAACGGAAAAGAGAAUUGAAUUAGCUAAAAUCUCCAUCCUAUGGAAGAGGAUUUUAGCUCCCCGAGGAUUUGUUUGGAAAGGAUAUUGGAUGGAAUUGAGGAGCCUAAAAUCUUAUUACUAUUCUAACAAACCUUCAAUCCUCUUCAACUCCUUUGUUUCCCAACUAGUUUGCUUCUCAAUUGGUUCCGACUGGUAGCAUUUUCAACGGAACAUGUCUUUAAAGAUGGUUUUUACUGUAAAGGUCUGUUUGGGAGCAAGUGACAAGUGUAAUGAAGAUGAUUGAGGAAGCUACAAUCUCUUACUAUUUAAUUUUGAAUAGUAAUAGAUUAUAGCAACAUCAAUCCCCUCCAAUCUACUUAUUUUCGAACACACUAAAGUGCAUCUGUAAUAGCUCCUUAAAACCUUAAUCUCAAUCCUCUUUUUAGAGAAAAAAAAACCUUUCCAACCGUUUUCUAGCUGUGCUCCUUAAAUUGCCGCACGCGUAUAUCACCCCACACGCGGCGCAAAUAUUCGCCGGGCAGGCAGGCACCGUGCUCCCAAUCCGCCGCUAGUUUUCCAAUUCGCGCGAUUUCCUUUUGGCGCCAUCCGUGAGCUUCGGCAGCAGGUAUCGCGCGAGGCGCUGCGUCCCUGUCGAGCAGACCUGCUCCCUCCUCGAGCAACGGUACGCUUCCCUCUCUGUGGAGUUCGAUUGCUCCAAGGACGAGGCCGCCCAGCUUGCCUCCUCCCAAGCGGAAAUACAUCCACGAGUAGAUCGAUUUGGACGCAAAGGACGAGCGACUCCGGCUGAACUCUGAGCUAAUGGAGAUGUUGUUGGAGUUGUUGGACGCAAAGGACGAGCGAUUUCCUUUUGGGAGUUGUUGGAGUAUUAACAAAUUUUUUUAGGAACUAAAUUUUUAAGAGGUUCCAAUUUUUAUGUAUUAGGAUAAAUAUUUUCAGAGCUAAUGGAGAUGCUCUAAGAGAUGGUUUUCCGAGAGUGUUAUAAAAUUCAAGUGGUAUUAGAGGUGGUUUUUACGAUUUUUCCCUGUCAUGUAAUGUAUCAAGAUGUGAUCUAUAUCAUUGGUUUCUGAGGAGCUAUGAAUCACUACUACUUUAUGUAUUUCAGCCAGGAUGUUUUCAUUUACUAGCAAAUUAUUUUCAGGAUGCUGGAGGCAUGGCUCUACAAGAUGGGCCAUUCUGAUAUACUCCUACAUGAGGCCCACUUAUUGAAGGCAGGAGAAGACGUUUGGGUUGGGCCCAGUCGAGCAAGGACCGUGUGGUCUGGCGCGCGGUCGACGGCAUGGGUCGCGUGGCCGUCGAAGAAUAGCAGCGCACGUGUCCAGCUUUCAGUGGCAUGCAUGCAUAGCCGGCCAAAAAAUAGCAGCGAUUCGUUGCUACAAAGAGCAUGCAUCUGGAUUGGAACAGAGGCGAAUGCCGCAUGAUGCGUCGCCGAGCCAUGACGAUGACAAUAGCCGCCGUGCUCUGCCUGCUCCUCUUCUCUGGCCGUCUCGCCGCGGCGGAGAAGACUUUCCGCGGAGGCGGAGGCGGAGGCUACGGCGGGUUGGAGGCCGGUGGCGGAGGCGGCGGCGGCGGCUACUCCACCCCGAGCGAGGCAGCGCCAUCCACGCCUGCCGCUGGGGAGACGACGACCCCUUCGUCAGGCGGCGGUUACUCCACCCCUAGCGAGGCAGCGCCAUCCACGCCUGCCGCUGAGGAGACGACGACGACUCCUUCGUCAGGCGGCGGGGGUUACGGCGGUGCAACCGGCAAGGCUUCCUCAGGCGGCGGCGGGCUGGACCCCGACGGCGACCCAGAGGUUGGGCUGAACGGGAAGGCGAUCGAGGAGAUCGUGAACGAGCACAACGUGUUCCGCGCCAAGGAGCACGUGCCUCCGCUGGUGUGGAACGCGACGCUGGCCAGGUUCUCGCAGCAGUACGCGGAGACGCUCAAGGGCAACUGCCAGCAGAUCCACUCGUCGUCGCCGUACGGGGAGAACCUGAUGGAGGGCACCCCGGGGCUGACCUGGAAGAUCACCGUGGACGGCUGGAGCGAGGAGAAGAAGAACUACCACUACAACUCAGACACCUGCGACCCCGGCAAGAUGUGCGGCCACUACAAGGCCGUCGUCUGGAAGACCACCACCAGCGUCGGCUGCGGACGCAUCAAGUGCAACAGCGGCGACACCAUCAUCAUGUGCAGCUACUGGCCGCCGGGGAACUACGACGGCGUUAAGCCAUACUAAAAUAUAUAUCGACCCAUUGCAUAUAUAUGUUGCAGAGCUUUUUAUUUUGGCAACAUAUCUAGUGCACAUGAUCUGCUGGUACACAUCAUACACAUAUUUCGUAUGAUUGGAUGUAUGCGCGAGCGCAUGCAGGCUCGCCUAAUCCUGUCCCGCGGGAUACGGCCGAUUCCCCGCGCCCUGGGCAUGCAAGUGAACGAGCCCUUUUUAGAUCUGACCUGCACCGACGCAUACCGGCUCGGAUAGUGCUGUGCAGGUAAACAAUCAAACACGCAACUACAGUCAGCAGCUACGGUCAACGCAUCCCACGGGCCUGGACACAGCCGGCCAGGAAACCAAUCAUACGGAUUAAAUCCUGUCCUUUCAUUUAAGAUCCAGUGUCUUACAAUUAUCUCAUCUCUCUCCUGCCUUUUUGCUAAAAUGGCCUCCCAUCUCUCUCACUUCCUGCCAUGUCGUUUUUUAGAAACCCGCCCGGCGGACUGUUUAUGUCCUUGAUUAGAGCGGUGGGAAGAUAAACAGUCCGCUAGAUUUUUUUGCGUGCUAGAUUUUUUUCUUCCUCCGGUCAAUCAAAUAUAAAUGUAUUGUAUAGGUGAAU
rnacentral:lncRNA from 1 species